AUGAGACCGGGGUCGAACUACAUGGAGUUUUAAAUCUAGUAAAACUAAGAAAAUAAAUUGUGGGGAAAAUAAAUUAUUUGAAAUCAAUUUAAAAAUAAGCUAAGGUUUAGGAUCCACUCUCUGUAUUCAAACUAUAAUUUUAAUACUCUCUCAUUUAUAUUUUGCCUCACUUUUACCAAUUAAUUAUUAUAUUAUUUAAUUCUAUGUGUGUGGAUAAAUAUAGAAUAAAGUACCUAAUGUGCCACAUUAUAUUAAUGUGUCGACAUUAUGUCAAAAUACCAUAAAAUCCAGUGAGAUUUAUAAAUUAACAUGAUAUAAAAAUAAUUAGAAAAGAAUUAAAUAAACUUAAAAACUCAUUUGAGAAAAUAAUAAUAAUUAAUAGUUUGAAACAUUGAGCUUCACCAUUCAUCUCAGCUUAAUAAAAUUAACUAUUCAUAUUGAAAGAAAACACAACACUCUUUUUAUUUGAUAAACUUUUUGAAAUAUAUUACAAAGAAAAUUGAUACAAACGGAAACAAGAAAAGAAAAGAAAGAAAGAUAGAAAGUCUUCAGUCUCAGCUUCAACUCUCAAAAUAAUUCUCUCCCUUCUCCCAUUCUGGCUUGCAUCCCCUUGCCUUUUAUAGGUAAGGAAAUCGUCUUCUUUUAUUUUAUUUUAUUAAUAUUAAUAUUUUAUUUUAUUUUAAUAUUAUAUAUAUAUAUAUAUAUAUAUAUAUAUAUAUAUUGAAUUGUGUGAUGGUCAGAGGCGUGAUGGCCUCCUGACCAUCACCAACAUGCUUUUGUUCUUUUUUUCUUUUUUAUUUAUUUAUUUUUUAUUUUAUUUAUUUUAUUUAUUAUUUAUUAUUACAUCUCUUCAAUUGUGUUCCAAUAGUUCUUCUUUGUUCCCGCUUUCAAUUCCAAUUCCACUUUUAUUCUUGAAAAAUAUUUACAAGAUAAAAAUUAACAAAUUACAAAUUAAUUUAAUAUAAAUAUAUUUGGGGAGUAUUAAAAUAAUUUAGAAAUAAUGAACGCAUUAAUCAAUACAAUAAGUGAAAAACUAAUAAUUUUAUCCUUAUUAAAUGUACACUUUUUAGUGUCAAUCACACCCCCCAACCAGCUUAUUGCUAGGCCCUAGCAAUUUAUGCGAUAAAAAUUUAGAGAAAUUUCAAAACCAAAUUGAAAAUCUUUUUUUUUUUUGAAAAAUUGUGUUUACUUCCUUCAUCAGAUUAAUGACAACAAUCAAAUAAAAGUAUAAGCAUUAUCCUUAGCCUAAAGAAAAUCACACCCGCUCAAAACAGUUCAGUAAAAUCCUGUAAAAUGAUCAAUCAUCAGAGCUACAUUAAUCAAGCCACUUUUAAGAAUAAUACAUCAAACCCCAAAAUCUCACGAUUAAGAGUGACUCUCUCAAAAGAAGAUAUACCCCAAAUUAAUUUGUCACUCUAAAAAAAGGUAAAUUUGAGAGAAUAAUAAAAAAAUAUCACACGCUCUCACUAAGAUGAAAAAAUAAUGCCUACAGCUUAGAAAUAAAAUGAUUUCAAGUCUAAUGAAUUACUAGCAAAAUUUAUUUUUAUUUUUAUAUCACCACAUCUUUUAGUCCAUAUUACCAGCUUUUACUUCAGACUAUAGUUCCCAAUAAUCGAUAAGGACUUUUAUUAUGACGUAACGUAAGCUAGGGUUAUGGCUAACAAAAAAGGUAAUAGGGAAAACAAAAAUAUAUGUUUGAAAAAUAUGAGACUUUUUGGAGAUUAUAAGGUGUUUUUUUUUCUUUUUGCUUUGGAUUUUUUUUCUUCUUUUUUUUAUUAAUUGAUAUAUAUAUAUAUAUCAUAUUUUUUUUAUAGCACCAUUAUUAGGAAUACAUAAUCAUCCCUAUUUUUAAAUAUAAUUGAGUGAUGAAAAACAUAAAACAUAAGGUGAUACUACUCAUUGGAGUAGGAAAAUAUGAUAGGUUUACCAAAGAAUUUUUUUUUUCAAGGCUCAAAUGGGUUAACUAUGGAUUCUUUAUAAUAGGGUUGGCUAGAAAGGCUCAAACGGAUCAAAUAUGGCAUUCUGUCAUCUUUUAGGGUUCUAUAUAAUCUUUCAUAUCCACUAAUUCAAUGGACUUUUAGAUGCGGCUGCACAAUUUUUUUUUUUUUUUUUUUUUUUAUAGAAAAUAUUGAGAUCUUGUACAAUAAAUUGUGAAGCUGUAUAGACAAACAAGGUUACUCUCCAAGGAUAAUAGGCUCAAAAACUAGCUUGGUCUUUUCAUAACAUGUACAUUCCUCCAAAUGACUUAAUCAAUUUCACUCAUUCAAUUUCUCAAUUUACGUUUCAACAUGCAAAGGGAAAAACAUAGUGUAACAUAGCUCAAGGCCAAAGAUAAUACGAAUACCAAAAUUUGAAAAUCAUCAUGUUAUCCAAUGUUAAAAGAUCACAUCAAAAAAGAAAAUAAUUUUUUUUUUUAAGAAAACACUUAAAAAAUGGGACUAAUUGCAGAAACUUAAGGGAGAUGAUUAAGAGAAAAAGAGAAAAAGACCAAAAACAAAAAGUUAGAAACAUUUUUUUUUUGGAAGAAAGCACAAAAAUUAAGAAGAUGCGUUUCUAGAGACACUACAUUCUAUAUUCUGCCAUCUUCGACUCAAAUUUUUAUCCAAAGUUAGUAUUUAUAACAAAAAUUAGUAAAAAUAUCAUUAGGACUGAGACAUUCCAAAAUUUAUUUUUUGGAAGAAAACACAAAAAUUAAGAAGAUGCAUUUUUAGAGACACUACAUUCUAUAUUCUGCCAUCUUCGACUCAAAUUUUUAUCCAAAGUUAGUCUUUACAAUAAAAAUUAGUAAAAACAUCAUUAGGACUGAGACAUUCCAUAAUUAUCAACUACUCCCUCCCCCCAACCUGAAGGAGACAUUGUCCUCAAUUUCUAAAGAAAGGAGUAGAGUUUAGAAGAUAUCACCUGGCCACUGCUGGAAAUAUUUACAGACGGAGAGUUAAAUCUAAUUUACACUUUUUACGAUAGUUACUGCCAUCGUCAUCAGUUGCCUAAUCCAAUGCCAAAGUCAUGGGAUCUGGCUCUGGUUUGUAAGCUUGCAAAAGAUCAAGUAACUCAUUAGCAGUAGGAGCACAAAUGAAGAGUUUUUUCGCUGAUGAUGGAAUGGAAUAAUUUUUAAUUGCAUGAUUAAGAAAUGUUAUUAAGCCAUCAUAAAAGUUAUUAACAUUUAACAAACCGAUGAGUUUUUGAUGGAUAUUCAAAUGGGCCCAAGAAGCAAAUGUAAUUAGCGCCUCCAAAGUUGCAAAGUCUCCUGGCAAGAAAAUGAAAGCGUCAGCAUGAUUUAACAUUUCAGAUACCUGAGACAACUAACUCUUCUCCAGUUGGUGGGUCUAGUAGACAUCCUAAAGGUUUUAAGGCUUUUGGAAUGAUGCCUAGCACUUGGCUUCCUCGAACGAAAGCAACUUCAGAGACAAGUUUUGAUAACCCUCGGCCACCUCCUCCAUAUACAAGAUGUAGUUUCCUCUCUGCUAUAGCACGACCAUGAUCUACGGCUGCCUGAACGAACUCCUUAUACUUUCUAUAGUGAAAUUCAGAAAGCACACAAAUGUUUUUAAGUUGACUGCUUAAAGUUGCUGCCAUUAGAACAAUUCUAAAAAGAAACAAUUUGUGAGUGCUUGAAAAGAAGUUCCUAUUUAAGGAUCUUGGUGACGGACAUAAUGAUAUACAUCUGUAAAUAGGGGGUGUGUUUGUCAAAUGACGCGUGAAGCUUUUAACUUAAUAAUUCAAAGGCAAACAAUGAAAAGAAAAAGCAAACAGUGAUUAGAUAAAAUAAAGGAAAAAAACACACAAUAAUAAUAAUAAUGCAAAAGAUAAAAGAAUAGUAAAAUAAAAGAAUAUUUACUGGUAGUUGUGAUUGUGGCUCACAUCCUCCUAGCUUGAACACCCUCUAUGGGUCGAGGAUAUGCUUCCCAUCCAGUUUUCUUAUAAACUGGCAAACAAGGUCUUUUAGAGUCAGAUUCCCAAGACUAAACUGUGCAAUUUCAUUUUGGAACAACUUCCAUAAAUUUUGAAUUUCAUGUUGAACAUAUCCGCUCGGAUGCGUCUCAAGAGAUCGUAAGAUAUCAUGCCAUCCUUAACGAAUUUGAUUUUAUCUUCACAAUUUACAGAAACCAUUCCUAAAGCUAUACAACGUGGAUUUUUAAAAGCAAGUCUUACACAGUGAGAACAUUCAGAGCCAAGUCGCUUAGCUCUUCUUUUCUUAGCAAAUGUACUUUUACUAAAACCAGGCAUGUAGGAAAUGAAUGGAUCAGAAAACUCACCUGCCAAUCGGACCUUUACUUCAAUUAACCAGCGAAUGUCAGCAGGAAUCCCAUUGAUCAUUAACAAACGCAAUCGUUCACAACGAGCUUUGUAAAUCUUCUUAAGAGCAUUUUGAGGGAGAGAAGGUAAAUGUUUAUGCAAAUUUUGUUGUAUUUCUUCCAUACUUGACAUUGAGGUUUCAGUUAUUGUGGGAAACUGAGAAUACCGACUUAAAAAGUCACGGAGUACCGUUAUCCGCCAUUUAUACGGGAGAGUGAAUAAAAAAAAAACGAAUCAAAUCUGCAAAAUCAAAUCAAAAGUGAAGAAGAACAACAAAAUAAAACAAAAACACAUAAGGAAUAUAACUCACCUUCGUCCUUUUAUUGAAUUUAGUUCCAAUUGCAGAUUAUAAAUACCAUCGUCUAUUUCCUUGAGUUGUCUUUCUAGAUCUUUCACGUGAGAUACUAACUCUGGUGGUUGCAGAUACCAAAUGGGAUAUAAUUUACAAAAUCGGAGCAAUUUCCUCAGGUAAAAUUUUACAUGAAAAAGCAUUUUAAGAUGAUCGAAAAGGAAAUUUCUCAUGGAGGUACUCAUGACAAGUAUUAAGAUUUGGUGAGCUAAAUCACAAUUGUCAAACAGCACACAAUACAAUGAAUGCACUCCAUUCAAGACAUAGGGAAAAGGAAAAAGAAAAAGAAAAAAAAAUCAAAUAAUUCAAACGAUAAAGUAACAAUAAAUCAAAUUCACAAAACAUUAAAAUGACAAGGCUUAAUCAAAAUUUUGGUAGGUCACUCAAAUGGAUUUCGGUAUCUGCUUCAUGUGGUUGGUAUUCCAGAUAUGGUUUCAAUCUUUGGCCAUUAAAUUUAAAUGUGACACCAUCCUUUGGAUUCUCAAUUUCUAUGGCUCCAUAUGGAUACACAUUUUUUACAACAAAUGGACCAUUCCACUUUGACUUUAACUUCCCUGUAAAUAAAUGAAAACGAGAAUUAUAAAGCAACACUUUUUGACCAAUUUCAAAUGUUUUUCGAAAAAUUCUUUUGUCAUGAAAAAAUUUGAUUCUUGCCUUAAUAAUUCUGGAAUUCUCAUAUGCAUCAUUCCUUAAUUCCUUAAGUUCAUUUAUUUGCAAUUUACGCACAUUGCCAGCAUCAUCAAGAUUUGAAUUAAAAGCUUUAAUGACCCAAAAUGAUUUAUGUUCAAGUUCUACUGGUAAGUGACAAGAUUUUUCAUAAACAAGCCGAUAGGGUGACAUUCCUAAAGAUGUUUUAAAAACAGUACGAUAUGCCCAAAGUGCAUCAAUUAGUCGAAGAGACCAAUCUUUAUGGUUUGGAUUAACUGUCUUCUCUAAAAUUUAUUUUAUCUCCUUAUUUGCUAAUUUAACUUGACCACUUGUUUGAGAGUGAUAAGGGUAGCAACCUUAUGUGUAAUUCCAUAUUUUUUCAUUAAGGACUCAAAUGACUUAUUACAAAAAUGCUUACCUCCAUCACUGAUAAUGGCUCGAGGUAUUCCAAAUCUGCUCAAAAUAUUUUCUUUUAAAAAGCGGAUCACAAUCUUGUGAUCAUUGUGCCGACAAGGAAUCGCCUCAAUCCAUUUUGAAACAUAAUCAACAGCAACUAAAAUGUAUGCAAAUCCAAAUGAUGAUGGAAAAGGGCCCAUAAAAUCAAUUCCCCAACAAUCAAAUAUUUCAAUGACAAGGAUAAGGUUUAAAGGCAUCAGUUUCGCUUUGAAAUAGACCCUACCAUUUGACAAUUCUUACACAUUUUACAGAAUGCAUGUGAAUCAUUAAAUAAUGUAGGCCAAUAAAAUCUACACUGCAAUAUUUUUGCAGCUGUCUUUUUUGAAGAAAAAUAGUCACCGCAUGCUUCAGAAUAACAAAAUUGAAUGACCCUACUUACCUCGUCAUCUGGUAUGCAUCUUCGAAAAAUUUGAUCGGAGUAGUACUUGAACAGGUAUGGUUCAUCCCAGUAAAAGCUUUUCACUUCUGUUAAGAAUUUCUUCUUGUCUUGGGAACUCCAGUCACAUGGCAUUUCAUCUGUUGCAAGAUAAUUAACAAUAUUAGCAUACCAAGGCAUUUCGUUUAUAGAAAAUAAAAAUUCAUCAGGGAAAGAAUCAUUUAUGGAUGUUAUUUCAAUUGAAAACUCAUUUGUAAGUCUUGAAAGAUGAUCUGCAAUAACAUUUUCAGCGCCCUUUUUGUCCUUGAUUGUCAAAUUAAAUUCUUGAAGUAGCAAAAUCCAUCGUAUCAACCUUGGUUUGGCAUCCUGUUUUGACAUUAAAUAUCUCACAGCAGCAUUAUCAGAAUAAACAACAGUAGAUGAACUAAUUAAAUACGAAUGAAAUUUAUCCAAUGCAAAUAUUACAACAAGUAGUUCUUUCUCAAUUAUAGUGUAAUUCAUUUGAGCACUAUUCAAAGUUCUACUUGCAUAAUAGAUGACAAAGGGCUUACCUUCCUUUCUUUGACCCAGAACAGCGCUAACAGCAUAAUCACUAGCAUUAUACAUUAGCUCAAAAGGCAAAGACCAAUCAGGGGAUUGCAGUAUUGGGGCUGAUGUCAAAAGAGUAGUUAUUUUUUUAAAAUAUUGUUGACAAUCUUUAGUCCAUUCAAAUUGUGUGUCUUUUAUUAGAAGGUUACAAAUUGGUCUAGAUAAGGCACUAAAAUCUUUUAUAAACCUCCUAUAAAAUCCUGCGUGUCCUAAAAAAGAACGGACUUCUCUAAUUGUUUUUUGUGAGGGUAAUUUUGAAAUGACUUCAACUUUGGCUUUAUCAACUUCGAUUCCUUUUGAAGACACAACAUGGCCCAAGACAAUUCCAGAAGUGGUCAUGAAAUGACAUUUUUUUCCAAUUUAAAACUAGUCAUUUUUCUUUGCACCUUUCCAAAACUUUUUCUAGAUUAUCAAGAAAUGUAUAAAAAGAAUUACCAAAUACAGUUAAAUCAUCCAUAAAAACCUUUAGACAAUUUUCAACCAUGUUAUUAAAAAUGCUUAGCAUGCACAUUUGAAAUGUUGCAGGAGCAUUACAAAAUUCAAAUGGCAUUCUCCUAAAUGCAAAUGUUCCAAAUGGGCAUGUGAAUGUGGUCUUUUCCUGGUCUUAUAAGGCUAUAGAAAUUUGAUAAUAGCUAGAGUAGCCAUCAAGAAAGCCGUAGUAGGGAUGUCCAGCUACUCUUUCGAGAAUUUGAUCUAGAAAUGGAAGGGGAAAAUGAUCUUUUCUAGUGGCAUUAUUUAAUUUUCUGUAAUCAAUGCACAUGCGCCAACUAGAUAGAAUUCGUGUUGGGAUUGGUUCACCUUUUUCAUUUUUUACAACAGUUAUUCCAGAUUUCUUUGGUACUACUUGAGUUGGACUUACCCAUUUACUAUCAGAGAUAGGGUAGAUAAUUCUUACAUCUAGUAGUUUAAGGACCUCAUUCUUUACCAUUUCUUUCAUAUGAGGGUUUAGUCUUCUUUGUGGUUGACGGAUUGUUCUGGCAUUUUCCUCUAAGUGUAUUCGGUGUGUGCAAAUUAAAGGAUUAAUUCCUUUUGUCUUUUAAGGUCCAACUAAAUGCAGUUUUAUGCCUUUUUAGUAUAGAUAACAACUUACCUUCUUGAUCAUGCAUGAGCUGAGAAGAUAUUACCACUAGAUAUGUCUGAUUCUCUCCAAGAUAGGCAUACUUCAAUUCUUCUGGUAAGGGCUUUAAUUCGAGCUCUGGUGUUUUCUCGUCGUUUGCUUCUUCAGGUUGUACCAUAUCUUCAAAGUUCGAUUGGUCAUCGUCACCUAUAGGUACCUGCAUAGAAUCAAGUGUAGGGCAUAUAUUAGCAGUAUCAAAAUCUAAUUCCUUACUUGAUUCAACAAAACCAGCAAAAUAAAUUUCCACAGAGUUUGUAAAAUUCUCAUCCUGAAUGUGUUCCUCAAUGAUUGGCUCGAUGAGAUCAAUUUCCUCAUUCUCAUUAUCAUCAUCUUCUUGGUAGUGCGGUUGUUUACACAUGUUGAAUAUAUUGAGUUCCAGUGUCAUGUUGCCGAAAGAUAAGUUCAUUAAUCCAUUCCUGCAAUUUAUCAAAGCAUUAGUAGUAGCUAAAAAUAGUCGACCCAAUAUAACAGGAAUUUGUUUGCAUUCAUUAGCAAUUGGUUCCGUUUCCAAAACAAUAAAAUCCACAGGAUAUAUGAAUUUAUCGACCUGGACUAAUACAUCUUCAAUUAUUCCUUUUGGAACCUUAAUCGAUCUAUCAGUAAGUAAAAGAGUGGUAGAAGUUGGUUUUAACUCACCGAGAUUGAGUUGUUGGUACACUGAGUAAGGAAGCAAAUUAACACUAGCACCAAGAUCAAGUAAAGCAUGUCCAAUUUUAUGAUCCUCAAUAGUGCAAGAAAUAGUUGGACAACCAGGAUCCUUAUAUUUCAAAGCACUAUCGGUUGAGAGAAUAGAACUUACCUGUUCUGCUAGAAAAGCUCUCUUUUGCACCUUAUGUUUCCUUUUCACCGUGCACAGAUCUUUCAAAAAUUUAGCAUAAAAAGGUACAUGUUUAAUGACAUCCAGCAGAGGAAUGUUGACUUUUACUUGUUUAAAAACUUCAUAAAUUUCUGGACUGUGGUUUGAUUUCUUUGGCUUGAUUAGUGCUUGAGGAAAUGAGGGUACAAGAGGAGAGUUGGUUAUUUCUUCAUGGGUUAAAGGUUCGACAAACUCUUCCCUAUUUUCUGAAAUUGAAUCUUUACUAGUUUCACGAGGGUCCACAAUGUAUUUUUCAACCACUUUACCACCACGAAGGGUUAUAACCGAUUUGACUUGACUUAUAUUUUGGUUUCUUGAAUUUUCUAUCUGAGGAUGUUGUUGACUCUUGGGGUUUGGUUCUGGUUGAGCAGGAAACUUUCCUUUUUCAUGUAUGGUAAGAGCAGAUGUAAGUUUGGAGAUAGUUUAUCUCAAAUUGGUUAAGGUUUGCAUCGUUUGGUUAUUUAUUGACUCUUGUUUUUCAAUAAACGAAUGCAAUGUGUCUUCUAGAGUUUUUCUUGGUGGUGGGACAUAUGGUGGGUAACUCUGGGAGUUUUGGAAAUUUUGACGUGGAGGGACUGGUUGUGAAGGUUGUGCAUGAUUGUCAUUUCUCCAACUGAAAUUUGGGUGGUUUCUCUAACCAGAGUUGUAAGUUUGAGAGUAUGGAUUUGGCUUUGGCCUUUUGAAAUUGUCAACGACAUUUACUUGUUCAUGCAAACUUUCUCUCAAAGCUGGUAAAGUUGGACAGUCCUGCGUAGAAUGUGUUAGCCUAAGGGCUACACAUAUUGUAAUUUUGAUGAUAAAUUGAUAACAAACAUAUGUAUUAAGUGAUUUAAUAAAUAUUGUAUUUCACAUUUUCACUAGUUUUUGAAGGGUAAUAUUUAUCCAAGUGAAUCAACUGAAAUCAAGCUCAAGACACUCAACGGACAACUGCGAAAUCAAGAAUAAAGUUUAGAGCUCAACGGACAAAUUAGUGUGAUAAAUUCUUGUAAAGCUGGUAUGAUUUAAUUGAUGCAUGAUUUAGCAUUUGAGAAGCUCAAGAGAUUAAUUUAAUUAAUUACCUUUUAUAAACUAAAAGGUUUUAUUUUUAUAAGAUAAAGUACCUUGUGAUUUUGAGUAAUUUGGACUAAAUGCAAAGUUUUGAAAUCUUUGAUUUUAAUAAGUAUUAUUAUUGAAUUUCAGAGUUGGACCUUUUUACAAAUAUUUGAAAUUUUUUGGGUCAUACUAUAAUUUAUGAAUAUUUAGGACUAAAGUGAAAGGUUUUGAGAACUUUGAAAAAUAUGGGUAUUAUAUUGAAAAAGGACUUUUUUACGAAAGAAUAAUAUCUUUGGGGCUAUAUCAUAAUUUCAGAAAGUUUUGGAAAGACAACUAUUAUUAGGAAAUUCUAAAAUUGGACCUAUUUGUAAAGUUUUCUAACGUUUUAGACCAUAGUAUAAUUAUAGGAAGUUUUGGGCCAAAGUGUAAUUUUAGUGAACAUUGUUACUGUAGCAAAAUUCAAAAAUAACGGUAAUAUCUCUAUUCAUGAGCGGCUAGCCAGAUAAAUCAAGCAGCUAACCGCUUGGGCGCAGGAAUUUACCUAUAACGGAUAGUUUUCGGACUUUAACUAUAAAAACUCAACUCCAACUUCAUUUAAAGAACUAGUACAAGGAAAAAUAAGAUCAUAUAACAUAUAUUGAGCUUCCAUUUCGUAAAUCAUCAUUUAUUGAAUCAUCAUUGAGCUAUAAUUUGUUAUCUACUCUUAAAGAGAGUUUCAUUGUUGUGAUUUUCAUUUCUCAUCAAAUUGUGAGUGUACAAGUGUGAGAAACACUUGGGGUGAAGAGAUUGGGGAUAUAAUCUCUUGUUGUAAAGGUCCAUUGACACCUUGGAAGUCAAUUGUAAACAUUUGAAGCCUUGGGAGGUUUGGAUAGUGAAAUCCUCAAGCCGGGUGAGCUUGGAGGCGUGGACGUAGGCGGGGAUAGCCGAACCACGUAAAAAUCCUUGUGUUUGUUUUCUCUUCCCUUACUCUUUUAAUAUUGUGCUUGAUUGAAUUUAUUAUUUUUAAUUUGAUUAAGGCAAUAGAUUAAAUUAUUGUGCGAAUUGUAUUACAUAAAUUUUAAAAUCCCAAUUCACCCCCCUCUUGGGUUGCAUAACCUGCAUUUCAUUUGGUAUUAGAGCAAGGUGCUCUUGGGUAGACUUAACCGUCUAGAGUUAAAGAUCCAUAGCAACCCAUAAUGACUCAACCUUUAGGGAAGGACAAUCCACAAUUAGACCACCGUUCUUUGACGGUAAUGACUACCUAUAUUAGAAAACUAGGAUGAGAAUUUAUUUACAAGCUUUAGAUUAUGAAAUUUGGGAAAUUGUUUGUGAUGGUCUAUUUAUGCCUUUGACUAAAAACGAAGUUGGGGAAGAUAUUCCAAAACCUUCACGGGAAUGGAAUGAAUUGGAAAAGAGAAAAGCUUCUCUAAACUCCAAAGCUAUGAAUGCCUUGUUUUGUGCACUAGAUAAGAAAGAGUUUCAUAGAGUAUCUAGUUGUGAAAGUGCUAAUGAAAUUUGGCAUAAACUUGAAGUUGUUUAUGAAGGCACGAAUCAAGUGAAAGAGUCUAAAAUCAGUAGGUACACUCGACAAUACAAAUUGUUCCAAAUGGAACAAAAUGAGAGUGUGCAUUCUAUGUAUACUAGAUUUACGGACAUAAUGAACACUCUAGGAGCCCUAGGAAAGACCUUUUCAAAUAGCGAGAAAGUUAAGAAAAUCAUUAGGUCGCUACUUAAGGAAUGGAGAGCAAAAAGGACUGCCAUUGAGGAAGCUAAAGAUUUAAAUAUCUUACCUAUUGAUGAUUUAAUUGGUUCUCUUAUUUCUUAUGAGGAAGACUUGGCAGCCGAAAAAGGCAAUGAAGAGAAGAAGAAAAGCAUUGCUCUCAAAGCCUCGAAACAUGAGAGUGAUGAGGAAAGCGAACUGGAUGAAGAGGAGAUGGAUAUGCUGGCUAGAAGGUUUAGAAAAUUAUUUAAGAAAUCCAGUGAGCGAAGAAAAUUUAAAGACCUCAAGAACCGAAGGAGAAGAAUGAAGUAAUCAAAUGUUAUGAGUGCAAGAAGCCUGGCCAUAUAAGAACAGAUUGCCAUCUUCUCAACAAGCUCAAGAAGAAAGCAAUGGUAGCCACAUGGGAUGAUAGUGAUGAGGAAACAAGUGAUGAUGAAGAGCAUCAAGAAAUGACAAAUCUAGCUCUCAUGGCAAUUGGAGAUGAAUCGGAUGAUGAACUUAAUGAGGUAAAUGAUCUUUCUACUUAUGAUGAAUUAUAUGAUGCUUUUAAAGAAUUGCAUGAUAAUUGGAUAAAAAUUGGUAAAAAGAAUGCAUGUCUUAAAAAGAAAAUGGUAAAGCUCACAAAUGAAAAUGAAUCUCUAAGUGCAAAGAUUACAUGCCUAGAAUUAGAGAAUAAAACAUUGCAUAAUAGAGUUGCAUUAUCAAAUGAGAAACCUAGCACUUUACAUGAGCAUCUAGAAUCAUAUGUAGAUGAUUUGAAAAAUGAAAAGAAUGCUUUACAAAAAUGCAAUGAUUUAUUAAAUGAAAAGAUUAAAGGACUAGAGUUAGAUAAUAAAAUGUUGCAUGAUAGAAUUGCAUCAUUUAAAGGUAAACAAAGUAUUUCAUAUGAGCAUGAAAAAUCACAUGUUGAUGAAUUGAUGAAAGAAAAUGAAGUGCUUAAGAAAAAGAGUAAUGAGCUCAACGAAAUUGUGUUAAAAUUCACAAGUGGUCAAAAGAACUUAGAAAAAUUACUAAGCACUCAAAAAUGUGUGUUUGAGAAAUGAGGACUUGGGUAUAAGCCUAACUUGAAACAAAAAUAUUAUAAAAAUUAUUUUGUUAAGGCUACCUCCAUAAGUGAUCAUAAGAUUGUUUGUCAUUAUUGUAAUGGAAAUGGUCAUAUGAGUUUUAGAUGUCCAAUUAAGAGAAAUGUAUAUUAUGGAGUCAAGUGUAUUUGGGUUCCAAAAGGAACCAAAUCUAACACUCAAGGACCCAAGAGUAUUUGGGUACCAAAAUGCACAACUUGAAUAUUUUCUUUGUAGGUACCACAAUCAAGGAAUGGCAGAGAGUUCCUUGAUAAAAGCUUAUGAGGAUAAUCACUUUAUCAUGGUGUAAGCAAAAAUGAUGAGACAAUAUAAUUUAAUUGUUUUGGUCACAACUAUUGCCUUAUUGAUUGUAAGUGAUGGUCUUUUAAUCUUAGUAAGUAUCUAAUAAUUCACUUGGUAUCAUAACAUUAAGUGCAUUAACAUGAAGUGGAUAAGUUUAUUUUGCCUAUUUAUUAUAUUGAGUGGAUAAUGAAAAAUGGAUAGUAGCUUGAAUUUGUGAAAGUAUGCUUGUAUGUUUACAUGAUUGAAUUAUCAUUGUGUUUAACAUUGAGUGCUUUAUCAUGAUGGAUUUAUUUGAUUUUAAUGAUUAUGUAAUGCCUAAGUAUGAUAAAUGAGUAAUAUGCUUGAAUUAUUAAUCUUUGAAUGCUUAUAUGUUUCAUGAUUGAGUAAAAUAUAUACAUGAUGGAUGAAUUAUAUGUGUGAAUUAAUCAUGUCUUAAAUGUUUAUAAUUUCAACCAUAAAGUGUUAUUGUAUCUCAUAAUUGUAAUGGAUAAGCAUGAUGAAUAUGUUAUAAAUUUGAGUUUUAUGAUUUUUUGGAUGUUAAUUAUAUUGAUUCAUGCAUUAAAAUGGCUUUUGAAAGUGUUCGGAUCACGAAAUGGUCUUAAAAUCGAUCAAAAAUAGCCGGAGAGUAAAAAUUGGUGCAGAUUGGCAGCCAUGAGGCGGCUAGCCGCCUGCCCCAAGCGGCUAGCCGCUUGGGUACUGUCCCAAACCCGAGAGCAAGCGGCUAGCUGCUUGGUCACGAGUUUUUCCCAUUUUUUUUGUUUUUCCUUUCUUCUUCACAUGUUCUUAUUCGUUCCUCUCUCUCCAAAACCGUGAGCCACUCUCUUCCAUUUCCAAUCAAUUUCUCUUCAUUUCUCAACCAUUUUUAUGCCAAAAUUAAUCAUUCAAACCAAUACCCAUGCAUUUCACUCUCAUUAAACACUUCCCAAUCAUCAUUUCUUCACUUGUUCUUCAUCAUUUCAUCAUCAUCUCUCACGCGUGAACAGUACCUCUCCAUUUCUCUCUCAAAUUUCUUCAUCUUUCACUCAUUCUCUUGCCAAAAUCAAUCAUCCAACUCAUUAUUCAUCCAUUACUCCUUCAAUUUUCACUCUCAAAACUUGAUUUCAUCAUCUCUCCACAUAAAACCCAAAAUUAAAAACCUAACUUACCCAUUUCUUUCUCUUCCAAUUUUCAAGCUUCCUUUAGCCCACUUUUGAUCCAAUCAACAUCAUCGAUUAUCUUAAAUCAUCUCUUGGAUCAAUAUAAUCGGUUUAAAAUCAUCCAUUUCACUCAUUAUUUUACAAAACUGAAUUUGUGCAUUUUGGGUAUUUUAAUUUACCACUUCCAUAGUGUCCUCUCCUUAUGGAUUUUACCAUGAUUCCUUAUUAUAUUAUGCAUCUACAUUUUCAUAUGCAUAAUUGUUCUAAUUGUGGAUUGCGGAUGAUGGUUGUUUAAUAUUUGGAUAAUUUAUACUUGGAUGAUAUUUUCUAAAUUCUUAGAAUGAAUAUGACUCUUUGGAUUAAUUGCAUGCUUUAUUUUUAUGCUUCUUGAUUAAUCAUUGAGGUGUUAUUUUUGGUGUAAGCAUGGAUUCAUAGUAAUUUUGAUGAUGAAGAGGGAGAAGUCAUGUAUUUUGAAUUCUAUUUUGAUCUUGAAGUAUUUGUGCAUGGUUUUGAAAUAUUAAAGGGGAGUUUACAAAUUGUUAUAGACCAUAUUUUCAGGGGGAAUUUUGAAUUUGAUUUAUAUGUUUAAUUAUGUAUGUCAUGUAUUAAGGGGGAGCAUAUAUAUCAAAAUACAUGAGAUGUUUGUCAUCAUCAAAAAGAGAGAGAUUGUUAGCCUAAAGGGCUACACAUAUUGUAAUUUUGAUGAUAACAAACAUAUGUAUUAAGUGAUUUAAUAAAUAUUGUAUUUUACAUUUUCACUAGUUUUUGAAGGGUAAUAUUUAUGCAAGUGAAUCAAGUGAAAUCAAGCUCAAGACACUUAACGGACAACGGCGAAAUCAAGAAUAAAGUUUAGAGCUCAACGGACAAAUUAGUGUGAUAAAUUCUUGUAAAGUCGGUAUGAUUUACUUGAUGCAUGAUUUAGCAUUUGAGAAGCUCAAGAGAUUAAUUUAAUUAAUUACUUUUUAUAAACUAAAAGGUUUUAUUUUUAUAAGAUAAAGUACCUUGUGGUUUUGAGUAAUUUGGACUUAAAUGCAAAGUUUCGAAAUCUUUGAUUUUAAUAAGUAUUAUUAUGAAUUUCGGAGUUGGAUCUUUUUACAAAUAUUUGAAAUUUUUUGGGUCAUACUAUAAUUUAUGAAUAUUUAGGACUAAAGUGAAAGGUUUUGAGAACUUUGAAAAAUAUGGGUAUUAUGUUGAAAAGGACUUUUUUGCGAAAGAAUAAUAUCUUUGGGGCUAUAUCAUAAUUUCAUAAAGUUUUGGAAAGACAACUAUUAUUAGGAAAAUUUGAAAUUGGACCUAUUUGUAAAGUUUUCUAACGUUUUAGGCCGUAGUAUAAUUAUAGGAAGUUUUGGGCCAAAGUGUAAUUUUAGUGAACAUUAUUACUGUAGCAAAAUUCAAAAAUAAUGGUAAUAUCACUGUUCAUGAGUGGCUAGCCGGAUAAAUCAAGCGGCUAACCGCUUGGGCGCGGGAAUUUGCCUAUAACGGAUAGUUUUCGGACUUUAACUAUAAAAACUCAACUCCAACUUCAUUUUAAGAACUAGUACAAGGAAAAAUAAGAUCAUAUAAUAUAUAUUGAGAUUCCAUUUUGUAAAUCAUCAUUUAUUGAAUCAUCAUUGAGUUAUAAUUUGUUAUCUACUCUUAAAGAGAGUUUCAUUGUUGUGAUUUUCAUUUCUCAUCAAAUUAUGAGUGUACAAGUGUGAGAAACACUUGGGGUGAAGAGAUUGGGGAUAUAAUAUCUUGUUGUAAAGGUCCAUUGACACCUUGAAAGUCAGUUGUAAACAUUUGAAACCUUGGGAGGCUUGGAUAGUGAAAUCCUCAAGCCGGGCAAACUUGGAGGCGUGGACGUAGGUGGGGAUAGCCGAAUCACGUAAAAAUCCUUGUGUUUGUUUUCUCUUCCCUUACUCUUUUAAUAUUGUGCUUGAUUGAAUUUAUUAUUUUUGAUUUGAUUAGGGCAAUAGAUUAAAUUGUUGUGCGAAUUGUAUUGCAUAAAUUUUAAAAUCUCAAUUCACCCUCCCUCUUGGGUUGCAUAACUUGCAUUUCAGAAUGGUCAGUAGAAUCGCAAACAUAACAUGAAAUAUUUUGAACAGACUUUACAUGAUCAUUCUUUUUCGACUCUAAUGCUUCAACUUUUCUAGCUAAUGAUGCAAAUUUAGCUUGAAAAUCAUGGUCUUCCCUAAGGUUAUGCAUGCCUCCACCAGAUGGAGAUGACUGGGGUUUACUUGAUAACUCAUAAGAACCAACUGUAUCCCAAUGUUGUGCAUUUUCUGCUAUAUAGUCAAGAUAGUCUAAUGCAUCUUCACGACUUUAAUCCCUAAACUCACCAUUACACAUUAUUUGAACGACUUGUCUACCUUGGGAUGUUAAUCCCUCGUAGAAAUAAGAUACUAAUCUCCACGUUUCAAAAUCGUGAUGUGGGUAAAUGUUAAGUAGUUCUUUAAACUUAUCCUAACAUUGGUAGAGAGUUUCUCCUGAUUUUUGAGUGAAAGUGGUGAUUUGUCUUUUCAAAUAAUUUGUUCUGUGGGGUGGGAAGAAUUUUUUUCAAAAAUUGUGCUUGCAUUUCAUCCUAAGUUCGGAUGGAUUCUGACCUAAGAUUUUGUAGCCAAGUUUUAGUUUUAUCCUUUAGUAAGAAAGGAAAAAACUUAAGUCUGAUUAUAUUCAUGCUACAAUUUUGAUCAGUACAUGUGUUACAGACUUCCUCAAAUUCCCUUAAAUGCAAAUAUAGAUUUUCAGACUCAAAACUAUGAAAAGUAGGAAGAAGUUGAAUGAUACCAGAUUUGAAAUUAAAAUGUGAUGCAUCAGGAGGGAAAACUAUGCAUGAUGGUGACCCUGUUAUAGUAGGAUGCAUGAAGUCUCUAAGGGUCGUAGGUUGUUCAUGAAGAUUUUGCAAGGCUUGAUCAUUUUCAUACUCUAAAAAAUUUUCAGCUCCUAUGUCAGCCAUAUUUAAGGGUGGUGAAGGUGAUUUUAUAAUUAAUCUACCACUAUUUGUACGAUACCAACGACGCAUGCAAUGCUAAUGAUGUGUGCUAAACUAAUGAUGCAAAAAUGCUAAAUGAAAAUUGCAGAAAUAAAAAUAAACUGGAAAUUAAAUAAGCAAAAAAUGUGAAAUAAAAAUAAACAAACUGAAAAAUAAAUAAAAUAAAAAAAUUAGGCGGUGAAACCAGCCAUAAACAAAGAAAUUAAAAGAAACAGUUUACGCGGUAUUUUAAAACCAGCCAUAUAAUAAAACAUAAAAUUAAAUGAAUUAAUGCACAAAAAUAAAUAAACUGAAAUUAAAAUACUAGGCGGUAGAACCGACCAUAUAAAUAAAAAUACAUAAAUUAACAAAAUUUAAAUAACAGUCAAGCGGUAGAACCGACCAUUUAAAAUAAAUGCGGAAAGUAAAUUACAGAAAUUUAAAGAAAUAAAUUUGAUUUAGGGACUGAUUUGCAAAGGUUUCUUGGCUAAGAUGAAGUUUCUCACAAAUUUUAUGGAUAAUGUUAAGGUUUGAAAAGAAGAGGGGUGCUAACUGAAGUUUUACAAAAAGAGAAUAAAAUAGAAUCACGGAAAGAUGGUAAUGACAAAAGAAAAAAAAUUAAAAUAAAAUAAAAAUAAAGUAAAGACAAACUAAUACUAAAUUUAGAAAACUUUCCGGCAACGGCGCCAAAAACUUGACACGACUCAAAAGUGUAUUACUAUCAAGUAUAAGAGUGUCUAGUUAUAAUAUAACCCGGUGAGACCGGGGUCGAACCACAGGGAGUUUUAAAUCUAGUAAAACUAAGAAAAUUAAUUGUGGGGAAAAUAAAUUAUUUGAAAUCAAUUUAAAAAUAAGCUAAGGUUUAGGAUCCACUCUCUGUAUUCAAACUAUAAUUUUAAUACUCUCUCAUUUAUAUUUUGCCUCACUUUUACCAAUUAAUUAUUAUAUCAUUUAAUUCUAUGUGUGUGGAUAAAUAUAGAAUAAAGUAUCUAAUGUGCCACAUUAUAUUAAUGUGUCGACAUUAUGUCAAAAUACCAUAAAAUCCAGUGAGAUUUAUAAAUUAACAUGAUAUAAAAAUAAUUAGAAAAGAAUUAAAUAAACUUAAAAACUCAUUUGAGAAAAUAAUAAUAAUUAAUAGUUUGAAACAUUGAGCUUCACCAUUCACCUUAGCUUAAUAAAAUUAGGUACUCAUAUUGAAAGAAAACACAACACUCUUUUUAUUUGAUAAACUUUUUGAAAUAUAUUACAAAGAAAAUUAAUACAAACGGAAACAAGAAAAGAAAAAAAAGAAAGAUAGAAAGUCUUCAGUCUCAGCUUCAGCUCUCAAAAUAGCUCUCUCCCUUCUCCCAUUCUGGCUUGCAUCCCCUUGCCUUUUAUAGGUAAGGGAAUCGUCUUCUUUCAUUUUAUUUUAUUAAUAUUGAUAUUUUAUUAUUAUUAUUAUUAUUAUUAUUAUUAUUAUUAUUAUUAUUAUAUAUAUAUAUAUAUAUAUAUAUAUAUAUAUAUAUAUUGAAUUGUGUAAUGGUCAGGAGGCGUGAUGGCCUCCUGACCAUCACCAACAUACUUUUGUUUUUUAGUACUUUUUUAUUUUUUUAUUUUAUUUAUUAUUUAUUAUUACAUCUCUUCAAUUGUGUUACAGUAGUUCUUCUUUGUUCCCGCUUUCAAUUCUAAUUCCACCUUUAUUCCUGAAAAAUAUUUACAAGAUAAAAAUUAACAAAUUACGAAUUAAUUUAACAUAAAAUAUAUUUGGGGAGUAUUAAAAUAAUUUAGAACUAAUGAACGUAUUAAUCGACACAAUAAGUGAAAAACUAAUAAUUUUAUCCUUAUUAAAUGUACACUUUUUCGUGUCAAUCACUAACCCCCCAGAAUGAAACCUAUGCAAUGAUUCCUAGAUUUGUAGGUCCCCCAAGAUUCUGAUUCCGGUUCCAACUCUAAUUUUGUGAAGUAAAUAUUGUCAAUGAUUUUAAUUCUAGAUUUCGAUUUCUCAAUUCAAGAACUAAACACACCCUAAAAGUUUCUUAAUUAAUUAUACAUCUGAAUCCCCUCAUUCUUUUACUAUUAAGUCACGUAAUAUUGUCACUUACAUCAAUUGAAGAAUUGUACCUAACAACCUAAUGAUGUGUUUACUAAACUGAAAUCGAAAUGUGCUAGAAUCGAAAUGGACAGGAAUGGAAAUGAGUUGAAAUAGGGAUAAAAAAUGAGAAUUAGAAUAAAUUGUUUACUUGAAUUAUAGGAAUCGGAGUCGGAAUGAAUUAGAUUUUACAAAUUACAAAAACAUCCUUAAUAAUAAUGACAAUAAUAUUAAUUAAAACAAUAAAAUUAAUAAAUAAAUAAAUAAUAAUAGAGGUAGUAGUAAUAAAAAAUAAUGAAAUUAAUAAUAACAAAUUUUAAUAAUGAUAAAAUUAAUAAAAUAAUAAUAACAAUAGUUAAUAAAAAUUAAAAUAAUUAAAAUAAUAAACUUAAUAUAUUUUAAGAAUAGUAAUGACAAUUACAAUAAUAAAUAAUGAAUACAUUAAUAAAAAUUAAAUAAAUUUUAACAAUGUUAAUAUUAAUAAAAUAAUAAAAUAAAUAAAUUUGAAUAAAAUAUUAUUAAAGUAAUAAUAAUGACAUCAUCAUUUUUGUUACUAUUACUACUGUUAUUAUUUAAUAAUGAUAAUAUUAAUAAAAUAAUAUUAUAACAAUAACAAUAGUUAUAACAAUUCAGAUAAUAAAUUUGAAUAAAAUAAUAUUAUAAUUAUAAUAAUAAAAUUAAAAAAAUGAAUAAAUUAAUAAAAAUUAACAAAUUUUAACAAUGUUAAUGUUAAUAAAAUAAAUAAUUUUGAAUGAAAUUAUACUAAAACAAUGAUAAUGGCAUUAUUAUUAUAAUUAAUAGUAGUGUUAUAAUAAUAAUAUAUUAUUAUUGAAGGGGGUAUUUUGGGAAUAUUGAAAUAUAAAUGAGGGUAGAAUUGGAAGUUUGGCAGACUCAUUCCCAACUCCCCAGGAAUCAAUCUCCCACUCCCCAUUUCCAAAUUGUGGUGGGCCCUGUGAUUCUGAUUCCGAUUCCAAUUCCCGCUAUUUUGUGAAGUAAACGCCUUCAAUAAUUCUAAUUCCGGAUUUAUAUUCCCUAAUCUUGAAAGUGAACUCACCAUAAAAGCAUUUAAGAAUUGGGUUAAUUUCGUGUUACCCUCUAGUGAAGUGACAAUCUUCAAACUACCCCCUUAUUAUUAAAAAUAUUAAUCUACUCCUAAAACUCGUUACUUUAACCAUUGAUUGUCGUUGACUCAUAAAAGUACGAAAGUAUCCACACCCUAAUAAAAUAUUCUUGUAACGGCUUUGUAAGGUCAACAAAAAUAAUUGAUAUAUGUUAAGUCAUUGAAAAUGUGAAAAGUUAACUAUUAAAAUAUUAAUAUGUAAAUAGUGAAUAAAUGAUUAAAAAAAUGUGGAAAUGACUUUAUGGGCCUAAAAAGUAAUUAGUUUCCCUGAAUUAGACAUAUUAGUUAGGGAAAUUACAAGUUAUGCCAUCGUAUGCAAAUUAUAAUAAAUGGCAUAAAAUUUUACACGUGUCUAACUAGUUCAAAAUUCAAAUUGACUGUGCAUAGCAUUGCUUCAUAAAUUUACAAAGACCUUUGUACACAACACACAAGGCCCAAAGCACCGAAAUCCAGCUAUUGGUGCAAACGCUUCAAUGAAGCAGUGAGAAUGUCAUCCUCUAGGGGAAGCUCCAACAACUUUUUUUAUAAAUAUAAAGAAGAGAAGUUGCAAGUGAACGGCAAGGUCAUCAAGUUUAGAAACAAAUUGUGUACUGAUUAUGGCGAACGAGUCACAAUCAAAAUUUCUGAAUAUGCUACAAAUCCUAAGAUGCUUUAUUACAAAUGUAAAAGGCCGUGCUACGAUUACUUUAGGUGGUGGGAACCAUCUAACUUUGAGUACAAGGUAAUUACAAGAGGGUUGGGUAAGUUGUAAGAUGAAGAAGAGAACCAAACUUUCCAUCAUAAAAAUAAGAAGUUCACAACAAUGACCACCAAGCUUGUUGCAAAAUUAGACAAGAUGAAGAGCUUGUUGUAUACCAUAAUCAUAAUGCAACUACUAUGUAUUACGUACAUUAAUGAUCUUCGGUAGAAAAUAGAUAAAUAGGAUGACUACAAGGCUUAAAUAAUAGAGUUAAAUAAGUAAAGCACGAACAUAAGUAAUAAAAAUGAUGUAUUUCCUUAUCAAAAGCUAUAGUUCAUUACAUUAAUAGUACAUGAGUUGUUGUACAUGAGCUCUUGCACAUAAAGUAAUAAAAAUGAUGUAUUUCAUUAUCAAAAGAUGUAGUUCAUUACAUUGAUAGUGCUGUUGUUCCUUUAUAUAUGUAGGUUGCAAUGAAUAUUUCACAAAAAAAUCAGGUGAAUGUCUGUACAUUUCUAUUGUUGUUUCUCAUACCUUUGUCUAAAAUAUGAAUUGCAACACACCCAAAAUAUAAGCUAAAUUUCCUGCUUUCCAACUGUUAUAUUCAUUCAUUGCCAUAAUACACUAUCAUAUAUAUAAAGUUACACAAAAUGACCAGCAUAAUUUAUUGGUAGUGAAUAUGUAAUUAAUGAAUGAAUGAUACUGCCCUAUGCCUUUAUCUGCAUCAUACUCUGCAAUAAAACCCAGCAACAAUACUUUACAAACAAUUUAACACAAUUCAUGAAAUUUAAUACUAUCAUUGCAAGGCAUUUGAACCCAACAAAAUAUUGAACAACUUAUAGCAAAUAUGAAGAACUGAUUUGCCCUUUGGAUCUCCCUUUGUCUUUGUUGCAGGAUGGGCUGAUCAUGAAGUGCCUCUUAAACUAGCUAUUUCUUUUAUAAUUUGAAUUCUUUUUGUAGGUGGUGUUCCAAAUGCAGCUUCUAAUGUUUGUCCAACUGGUUGUUUGUUUGCUAAACCCCUUGCUGGCACUUAUAUUUUGACCAGCAAACACAACACAUUCAUGAACAUGUAUUGUAGAAACUUAUAGCACGUGUUUGUAACAAAUUGUAAGUGUAGAAAAUUUCAACUGACAAUAGAGCUUCAAUUUACACUAUAAAAGCCUCUAAAGUAUGUCAACUAACAUGAUUCAAAAAACAAACAUGCUUCUAAACUUAAUCAUCAAGCAAAUACCAUAACUGACUCUUAAAUAAAAUGAAGAUUAACAAACUUGAACCAAAAUUAAAUAAGAGUAGUGAAUAACUCAAAACUAAAGUUAUAACAGUUGCUACACUAAUUUUAAACAAAGCUACUCAUGUCACAUUGACAUUACACCUACGCUAAAAUAUAUUAAAAACUACCUUAUAUUGAUAAACAAACAAAAUCAGUAACUUCAUCUUCUAGAUAUUAAACAUAUGUUAUGCCUUUGAAUAUAAAUGUUAAACAAACCUGAUACAGCGUGAGCACUCCUGCAACAGUAGAUGGUUCUGUUGGUGUUGCUGCUGGUGUCGGUGUGGGUGUUGUACUUAAUGGGGUAGCAAAACCUCUUGGCUGUGCAGGUGUGUUUGUCUUUGGCCUUGAGGCAAAAACAUUCAUUCCUAGAUAUGAUGCACCAGAGCUUGAAGCUGCCACUAAGGUCUUCGAUGCGUCUAAAUUUCACGAAUGUAAUAAAAUGUCAUUAGUCGAUAAUAACAGCUGGUUAUAAUUGGGUAAAAAACAUAAAUUUAUCAGCCAAGUCAAAGUAUAAGCUUUACCAUCAUUGUUCUAGUUUUCUUGCUUGCAUUGGCUGGAUUAUGAGGACAACAUCUUAUAUUUUGGCCGAUGCCUCUGUAGUAUGUGCAUGAAACUGUGAAUUUUCUCUUGUAGGAUAGCACUUCACUAGCCUCCCUUCUUCCAUAAGUCUUGGGCCUGCCUGGUGGUCUUGAUAUAUUUGGGGGUAAAAUUUCAUUGGCCUCUAUGUGUGGCCACUUAGACUUAUCUGGCAAAUAAUGAAUGAUGUCUGCAUAACAUUUUAGAUAAGCUUUUUUUGUAAGCAAGCAACAAUAUAUGGCUCAUAAGUAGCCCUUAAAUGAGCAAUACAAGGCAUCGCAUGACUGCAUGGUAGACCACUAAUUUGUCACAACCUACAAUCACAUGUAUACUCCUCUAAAUUAACCAUAUAUGAUUUCUUAUUAUUAGCCAUAUAAGACUUGCUAGUAUCCUUGACUUCAAACAGCGCCUCAUUUGUUGGUAUAACAUGACAAAAUCUUUCAGCCUUGAGGAAUUUGUUCAUCUUCUUAUUGAUGUAAAAAGGAACUUCAGUGUCCAUUCUUGAAAUUCUAGCUUUCUUUCUAUGAUUCAUUAUAUCAUCUUCUUCCUUAUAUGCUCCAUCAUGGUGAUUAUUGAUGCCUUUCUUAUAUCUUCAAGCCAUGCAUUCUAACUAUUAGUUAUGUUUUUUGUUGUAUGAUCACAUUUGACUGAUUUAUCAAAAGCAUGAAUUGACCAAUAUUUUGGGUUAAUUUUCCUUAGCCAAUCGAAAACAUCUACAUCGACCGUCAUUAUAUUGCUCAUUGCUUCCAUAAAAUCAUCCUUAUUUGCGGCUUUGAUUGCUUUCCAGUACUCGUCUCUCAACUGUACAUCGGGAAACAUUUGUGUUAGGUUGGAAAAUACAUGCCUCGCAUAGUACCUGUUAAGGAAAAAAGAAUUGAAAAUGUUAAUUUUGGGCUACCCCAAGGAAAUGACAACUUCAAAUUGCCCCCCUCAAGUUUUAACACAAUCAAGUUAACCUCAUAUCACUUCGAUCACAGUUUAUUAGAUUAUCAUACAAAGCUAUAAAUGUGCAGAAAAUUAAAGUGUAUAAUACAUCAAUAAAAGUAAAAAUUACAUUGUUUUUAAGAUUGCACGCACCUAUUUUAUGAUCCGUAAAACUCCAAGUUUAAAGCAUUAAAUGCACAUUUUUGUCUAUCUGUCAUGAAGGUUAACUCUCUUGAAUCAGCCGAGUACUCUUUCAAAUGCCCCAGAAACCAUGUCCAACUAUCAGUGUUCUCAGAUUCACAUACACAUACGGCCAAUGGAAAGAUCCAUUGGUUUGCAUCAAGUGCAAUUGUUGAUAACAGGACACCUUCGAAUGACAUCCAUUAAGACUAAUAAAUGGUCUGCAACCCGCCUUGAAACCAUUUUUAAGCCUUGGGAAACUAAUAAUGAACCUUUGAAACCUACACUUGCCUGCAAUGGUGCCUGAUUUUGUAACUUUAAGUAUUGGUAGUGCACCUGACAUAUGUUGUUUUAUUAUGUGAACAUAGUCCCAAAGGUCCUUAAAGCUCUGAAAUGGUCUCUACCAACUGCUAACUCAAAAAUUUUUCUUUUGGCCUUAUAAGCUUUCUAUGCACUGACCUCAACUCCAUACAUCUACUUGAUGUCAAUGAUCAUAUUUUUCAUAAAAAAUGAAGAAUCAACAAUGAUUUUCUUUUGGUACUUCCUGACAAGCUAAACAGUUGUUGCCUCUAGAUUUUUCGCAAUCCUCUGACAUGUAUAAGCAUUAUGAAAACUUUUAUUUUGGAAGCAUUCACCGUGUCUCUGCAAUGAAGCAUAUACCUUGAAAGAAUACUUAGAUGCAUAACAAUGACAUAGUAUUCACCUUCUUUUAAAUUUCACUCUUCUACCUAAAAAACUUUUUUUAAUAUAAAAAUCUUGAAGAGCUCAUGCAAAAGACUUCAUGUGUUUAAAAACUAUUCCAGCCCUAAACUCCAUUGGAUCUAUACCGUACUCAAACAUUUGAUCCCCCCCAAUACAUAAGACAUUGCAAGUAAUGGAUGCUCAUCAUUUGAUGAUUGUAUUAGACCGAAAUUAGCAUUAUCACUUUCAUAACCCUGUAACAAGCCAUUAUUGUUAUCAUUGCCAUCAUCAUCAUCCAAUUUACCACUGUUGUCGUGUUUUGCUUCUUCAUUAUUAGCAUCAUUAUCUAAAUCAGACCAUAAAUGAAACUCGUCUUCAACAUGAGAAAGGCAAAUCAUCCAUUGUUGUCUGUGUUGAAGGACCAGCACCUGAUGAAUUUCUAGUUCGCCUUGUCUUUCUUAGCUUAGGCCUGGUUUGAACAAACUCACUAUCUAUAGAAUUUAAUUUUCUUUUCUUCUUACUUCUCUUCGAAGGCUUAACAUGUACAUGUUGUUUCUUCUGCCUCCACUGUGCAAUCCUUUGAGAAGCCCUUAUCUGGAAAGAAGUAGAUUUUCUUUUAUUGGCACGCAAAUGAGAUGGCUACAAUUUACCACUUCUCCCCUUUACCGUAUUUGACUCCUUUAUAAUUGUCUCAGAUUGUUCGACUUGGUCAACUUGAGUUGGAAAUUCAAGCUGCAAUGUAGGUUCGUGAUUAAGAGUUUGUGGUGUUUGUUCUGGUGGUAUUAACUGCACAUGUUCAAUCAUUGGCUGGAAAUAUGUUGAUGUAGCAAGAGGUACUGGUACUGUGGUAAGUUUUGAGACGAAUUAACCCUCUGUGAAUUAUUGUCUUAAAAAAUUUGAGACAAUAAUAGAUUUAUUUAAUUGCACCCAACCCAAGGUCAUCAUCAUCAUUUUCAUCCCCCAAUAAAACAUUAUAGAGAUCAUUAGUCACAUCAUAUCUUUCUCUGGUUUAGAUGUAUGAGUAGUUGCAUGUACUGAUGUUUGGUCAAUUUUGGGUUAACUGUUGGAGUAGGCAAUGAAGUUUGGUCAUAAUCUGGGUGUGUGUUAUUAAAAUCACUGCCAAACUUUGUUGUCAGCUGAUCUUGUUUUAUAUUCGAUUUCAUUGGUGUCAUAAUCUUUUGAAGAACCUGUUCUAUGGUUAAUACAUUGUCACUUGGCAUAUGUUGUUCAACUUCAUGUUUAGGUGCUGUUUUAGAUUAAUGUAUUGACUCAUGUGCAGAUGGUAAUGGAAUGACCUGUUCAGGAGUGGGGGUAGAUGGACUAAGACGAUCGGAUCCAGGGCCAGGAGUAGGUCUCUUGCCUUUUCUUCUAUUCCUUGAAACACUCUUAAUAUUUCUACUACUAGUCUUACCAGGUGGUGGUUCAGUAGGUAAUGGUGCUUUUACGGCGAUAAUCUAAAUAUCAUAAUCAAAUAUUCUUUUUUGACCCACAUACAUCACAUUCAACGGUAGCACCUCCAUAUAUAAGUCAAUCUUUGUGUACUUCUUUUCGUUAAACAACUGCCAUACCUUAUAUAUUUCAUAAUCAUUCUUUAUUACUCAUUUUUUUUCCAUUUCAGGGCAAUGUAACCUCAAGCACAAACCUCUCACGGGGCCAACUGCUUCUCCUAAAAACUUGUCUCAUUGCACCAUUGAUAACUAUCACUCUACUUAAAUAAUCAGGAUCUAUAAGGCCAAUAUCCCACGUUACACCCAUAAAGUUAACAAAAGUUGACAUCUUGAAUUCUUUUUCCUAUAUAUCACAAUAUAAAGACAAGUUUCAAAAUCCACAAUCAACACAUACUAUUGCCAGUCGUAUAUAAUGUCAUUACGCAAAUCAUUUGUUACAACUGUUAAGAUUAGUCAAUAAUAAGGACAAUGAAAUAGAAAAAUCAACCCACUUAAAUUCCAAAAUCAUUGCUUGAACUAAGUGGCUCACAGCCAUAACCAGUAACUUACAUUGUUCAUCAAAACCAACAAAAAUAAUAGAAAUCUUGGUUUGCAUCUGUGGUUUUCAAUUUUCUUAAGUACAGAAACAAGGAAAAAAUUCCUAUGUUUUUUACUACAAACAAAAAUCUCCAAAUUUAUAAAAACCCAGGGUUUCCAAUAAUGUUUCAAAAUCAAUGAUUAACACUUUGAUACAAUUUCAUUAACCUAUCAUUAUCAUACCAAGAAAUAACAUAAGUACAUAUAUAUAGUCCUAAACAAAAGAUAAUAGUAAAAUGUUAAAAAAGUUCCUUUUUUUCUCACCUCAGCUAUCGAACGAGGCUGUUCAGACUGAGAUUCUCCAUUGCUACUACCUGAGUUCAUCUUGCUCCUUCCAAUUUCAUCCUUAUAGUUUGUUCAGUGCUGCUCUGUUUUUUGGCCUGAGUGAAGUCUUGCACGUUAUGACUGUAUGCACAAACGCUUCACUUUACUUUGGCACGAAAGCAAAGCUUUCGUUUUUUGUAUCACACCAUGUAUUUUUUUACUUAUUGUUUUAUUUUUUUAACAUUUACACCACACAGUAAAACGAGGUUUGGUUAAAAGUAGUGAUUGAUUUCAUGUUUCCUACAUAUGCAUCACGUGUCCCUGUGCUUAAUGAUCGUUACAGAUUUGUAUAAGUAUCAUCUUAUCCUUUAUACCAUUUAAAUUAAUAGAGAGAUAACAAGUUUUGAGAAGUAGAUUGAUGUUUUCAAUAGUAAAAGGGGUAAUUGAAGAUUGUCACUUCAUAAGGGGGGUAACACAAAAUUAACCCUUAACAAUUAAACUACACUUAAUUUGUUUGAUAUAACUUUUAAGUUGAUGUAACAAGAUCCAGUACAUUGGAGGAGGACAAAGAAAGCUACCUUGAGUUGUAGUCCGAGUAAUCUUAGAUAGAAAAUUUUAUUUCAAGUCCUUUUUUAAAUUAUCAGGAUUUUUUAAUGAUCUAAACUUUUACCGAGUACAAAUUUAUAUGGUAAUUGGUGGUUAAUAAAUAAAAGAAUAAAGAAGUUAAAUCCUAAAUGCACUUGGAGCAUCAUCUUUAAAAAUUCAUGAGAGAAUCAUAGUUCUAAUUUAAUAGAUAUAGAUCUAAUAAAUGAUCACUUAAACUAUUAAAAUAAACAGAUAAACUAGAUGACAUGAAAAACACUCUCUAAUACAAUAUAUUUUAUCUUGUCUAGCAUUACUUAUAUAUAUGGUGCGGGCGUCCAAUUUUUUGUUUUAUUUUUUUAAUGCAGACACAUUGUUAAACUGUGCAAUUUAAUAGUCUGUUAGUAUGAAAAAAUGAAGACAUCCGCACUAAAAAAAGACUCAUGUGUGCGUAUGUAUUCUUCAGAGCAGGCGCUCUCUUUUUUUUUUUUAUGCGAACAUGUUAUAAAUCAUAUGAUUUAAUAGUAUGUCUGAACUUACUCGAUUUAACCAUAUACCUUAAUAAUUUGUCCACAUGAAAAAAAAAAAAAAAUGAGGUCACCUACAUUACGUAAAGACCAUGUGUGUCUAUAUGUGCGCACAUGUGUGCAUCUGCUUGCAUGUAUGUGUGUAUGCAUGCGUGUGGGUGUGCGUAUGCGUGCGUAUGUGUGGGUGUGUAUAUGCAUGUUUGUGGGUGUGUAUAAGCGUGUGUGUGUGUGUGCGCGCGUGUGAAUAUGUGCGCGCACGUUAAGAACAAAGACAAGCUUAAAGACAAAAAACCAACACACCCCAAUAUAGUGUAUUUUAUUUAGUAGUACAUUAAAAUCUAUAUAAAUAUUUCUUACUUUAUUCAUUACCUUAUUGAAUAAAGUAAGAUAUAUAUAUAUGACAGUAAUCCGAUCCGGGAGUCCACCAGGGGCUGUUGGAUUUCAAUCCAGCGGCCGCUGGUGGCUUCUUCUUUUUUUUUUUUUUUUUUGCGGGCUGCACGUGGUGGACUAGGCUUUGUCCCGGAAACUAUUCCAAUUCGGGACUCAAUCCAGCGGCCGCUGGUGGCUUCUUCUUUUUUUUUUUUUUUUUGCGGGCUGCACGUGGUGGACUAGGCUUUGUCCCGGAAACUAUUCCAAUUCGGGACUACCUGGAUUGGAAUAUAUAUAUGCCUUAGUGUUCUUCCAACCCCUUAUCGGUUUUUUAUUUUAUUUUAUUUUUUAUGGGUCAAUGUCUCUUAAUAGUUCCUAAUUAUUAUCUACAAAUCUUAUAAAUAAAGAAUUUAUCAUUAGUUUUUAGUUCGUUAAUUAGAUUUUUCUCAUUUAAUCAACCAAAACAUCGAAAACAUCUUGCAUUAGCAAUAUUUCUUCAUGUAUUUUUUUAAAUUCAAGUAAUUAACAAUUCACUUACAUAUAGUUUUUUUUUUUUUUUUUUGAUUCGAUUCACUUACAUAUAGUUGAAUAUAUGAAUGCGUAAUCUUUUAUUAGAAAAAUAUUUCAGAUCAGCCCGGAAUCAAAUUAGUUCCCAGCUACGCUACUGCUCAAAUCAUGCAAUAUGCAUCUUGUCUUAAUAUUCUAUUUAUGAAGGUCGCGUUACAAUAAUUGACAAUAUCGUACUCUAGAAGUCCAUGAAAAAUUUGAUCUUCGUAUGCUACUACAUGAAGAACAAGAAGAGAUUCGAUAAAUACACCCCCAAUCCCCGAGAACAACAUGAAUUAAAAAAAUUAAAAAUUAUCAAAUUUAAUAAACAAGAAUUAAAAAUCCAAAUUCCUUCAUUUCCACACCCCCUCAACCGAAAAAAAAAAACUUUUUUUGAAUCUACUUUUGAAUAUUGCAUAGUGUUGAUUAAAAAAGAUUUAAAAACGAAGAAAACAAAAAACAAAAUCUGCCGGUGGCUGGCAAGAAUUCACGUACGGCCAAAGAAGGGUCAAUGCCUUUAGCCCUACAAUAGGAAGUUAAAUUUGGCAUUGCUGUCACGAUAAAAUUUCAUGAUAUUGACUUCGCAUCGCAUAUUUCAAUUUCAGAAAGAAAUAAAAGUUCCAAAUUAAAAGAAAAAUCAGCCAAAUAUUAUGAAAAAGGCAAUUUGUGUGUCUAACCCUUAUCAAAGUCGACGAGACUUUAAUUUUCACCUUUUAUUGUAUCCUAUAGCGGUUACAGAUGAUUUAGACUGUACUUCAGGUUGAAAGAGAGAAAUCGGCUGCUUUUAAUGUUGCAGAAGAGAACAAAAACAACAAAAGAGAGUGACAGGGUUGACAAAUGAGGUUCCUCAUCAUUGAGAUUUAAUGUCACAGGGCUCUAAAAAAUUUCAGCAAUGAAACGUGUUAACUCAUGCUACUACCUGCACAAAUGCCAACUCAAGAAGAAGCAGGGGAUACAAAUGGAAGAAAAACAAGUAUUUUGGGAUGGUUAACCUGUUUCUGCUCAUCUGCCAAACAUUUCACCAAAAAAGCAUUUGAAAAAACUGUAACUUUGCUAACAAAGCAAACUUUCCUCUGUCUGGACCAAUACCUGAAUUUCAAAGCAAAAGAGAGUUAACAAGAAAGAACAAUGUCCUACACAGAUGAAUAAAUAAAUUUUUUUGCUAAUGUUUUUUUGUUAAGAGGAAUGCCCUCCCUUCAAUAAUCUUUUAGCAAAAUGGAUUGAUCUGCGUAUGGCUAUCAUCCAUCAAUGAUGUUCUAAUGUGAUACAAAAAUCAAGAUUUUAAUAGAUAUAAAUUAAUAUUGGGUAUUAUAUCUGAAGUCAAUUUUGUUUAACUAAGUUUAUAAAUACUGAGAGAGAUUGAAAAUGCAGUUAAAUACAAGAAGAAAACGCUAGAAUUCUAAAACAUCAUCUCUAUAAACAAUAUGGAAUUGGGAAAAAGAACAAAACAAUUUGUCCAUAACUAUUUGAAAUUCAGAGAGCACAAUUUCAAAUGGGAUGAAUUUCCAUUCAUGGUUUUUUCUGUAUCUGUCUCCUUUAAUCUCUCUGAAUGGUAUAGCAUUCCAUUAUGACACAUGCUGUUAUCUAUUCCAAAGGCAUUUGGAAGAUUAUGACAGACCGAAUUUUUCCAAUUCUCGUAAGAUUUGAAAGAUUCGUUCUCUAAUUCUGGUCCUUCUACUUGUUUGUCAACUCAUUGAAAGUCUGUUUCUUCAAGAGAACUUAUAUAUAUUUGUCAGUGAUAGCUACCAAACAACAAACUUUGAAUUCAAGGAUGCUAAAAAAUAUCACAAACUAAAGAAAGGAGAAGAAGAACAAAAGAAAUGAAAAUACCUUGAAUACAAAACCAAUGUUAAGUUCGUCAACUGUUAACAACUUUCUGCGGCUGUCUUUUCUGCAAAAGGCAUCCAAAUCGAUCAGAUAUACCAGUGUGAUGCCCAAUAAAACAGAGGGACAAUUUUUAUUUGUUAUUUUUAUUUUUUUUUUAAAAAAAAGGGUAUUUCAAAGUCCAAAAUCAUGAAGCAUUUCUGUAAAUGCAGCUUCUUUAAUCCAAAAAAAUUAUUCAACCUAUGCAUAAAAAAGACCUGCAUCAUUAGUCCUUGCUUAUAACAAUUUGGCAUGCAAAAUUUAGGAUUCUAAAUUCCUCAGUAGAAUGAGCUAUUGAUACAAGCAUGAGAAAACAGGAGCAGGGAUUGUUCAGUUUGAAGAUCAAGAGUUCAUUUGCAAUCAGAGUACUUGUUAAGGGUACUUCUAUACAAAGGGCCAACACUGUAUUUAUGAUUUUCUAGGAUAAAAGGUAUUUUAAUGUCAAGUCUAAGUUGAUACAUUAAGCUCCUGACUUAUUUUUUUCAAUCUAAGAUUAAUUAUUUUACUAGAUUAAUUAUUCUUAAUCUUUGGAUAAGAAUGACUCGAGUCUAUAUAUAUCUUCCCUAGUCUGAAAAUUACAAGAGUAAGUACUGAAACUUGUUUAUGUAGCUAUAUAGUCGUCUUCAUGUGCUCCAUCUUUCUUACUCUUUUCCCCUCACAUAUAUAAUCUACUUAAACAGGAAAAAUGAAAAUCACUCCAGUUGGUAUUACCAAUAGCUGCACAUAUUAAAUUUAUUGAUAACAGUAAGAUUCGAUGAAUUCAAAUAUAAAACGUUGUAAGAGAGAAUUAAAUUAUGAAUCCUCUGCAGAAUACUACCAUGCAGCAAACCCACUGACAGCAAUCGAUCAAUGAUAUCAACACGCUGUUGUAUGGAUUUCAAAAGUGAAUUCAAUGAUGAAACCCUCUUUCUAACCCCCGAAAUCUUCGCCGCAUAUUGCAUAAUAAAGGGCAAUGGUGCAUCUUCCAGUAGUUGAUCAAGCUCUGUCAACAACACACACAACAAACAUAAAAAAUAAAUUACAUAAUAGUAAUGGUAAUGGCAGUAAUAAUAACAAUAAUAAUAAGGUAAAAAGGACAGGCACCACUCGUGCUUUGAUGAAAUGGUCAAGGGUCUCCAUGACUACUUCUGAAGGAUCUCCAUGACCAUUUCACCAAAAACACGAUUGCAUGUACAAUCUGUAAAAAAAUUGAAAUUAUAAAUAAUAAUAAUAAUAAUUCAUGUUAAAAAAGAAUAAGUCCAAAUAAAAUACAGUUGGUAACUAAAGUCAGAAGCCAUGAAAGAGGUCUACGUCACACUUUCUCAAAUCAAUAAGUCUCCAUGACAAUUUCACCAAACCACAGGGUGCUGCUGCUAUCAUUUUUCAUAAUACUAAUAAUAAUGAUAGUAAGAGAGCGAAGGUUAAUAAAACGACCUCCUGUAAGACGAUCGAUGGCGGAAGCGAGCUGGUCCUGGGAUUGAAGAGUGUCUUGAGCUUUUGAAUCAAAAUCCUUGAUAACGGCUGUCAACAUUGACGAUAAAGCUAUGGCCAAGGCGUCACUGCUUUUAUUAUCAGACUCGGAUUCUUGAGGAUUUUCAGGGGUCUCGUUACUGGAAGAAGGAUUCGUGCUUACUCGAACUGGAACAGUGGUUCCUUCGCCGGAAUUGCAGUUGUUUUGCGACGCUUCGUCCAUCUUUUUCUGAUAUUGCGAUUCUGCUGGAUGAUGAUGAAGAAGAUUGUUAAUCAUUUAAUGGGCUAUAAAUUGGGCCGUUGAACCCAAAACCACAUUUAAUGCUUGGGCCGCUUCCGAUAAACUCUACUUAGUUUAGCCAACAACUAUCUUCUGGCAUCCCUCAAAAUUUCUGGAAAAAACCUUUUUUGUAAUUGAAAUUACUUAAAUAAUCUACUACUACUACUAUUAUUAUUAUUAUUAUUAUUAUUAUUAUUAUUAUUAUUCAUAACAAUAAUUGGGACUUAUAAACAUAGAUACCAAACAUUAUAAAGCCCUCUGGUCUAGAUACCAUAUAAGUCUUUAGAGGGCUAGAGAACCUUAUUAACAAACUUAUCUUGUAGGGAAAAGCUCAGGACCAAAAAACACAUCACCUCCAUCAAUGUUAAAAAACAUUUGUACACGUGAGCAUGUCAAAUGCCCACAUAUGUCGCAACAUAUACUUCAAAAAAAAAAGUAGUAAUAUUCACAUAAAACUUAGUACUAAAGCUAAGUAUAAAAAGGGCCUAUCUGCUAGAUUUGCUAAAACUUCUUAAAAAUUGUAAAAAUUGUGCCGCACUUAAAGAUGUAUGCUUCUAAGCUUCUCCUACUAAUCCUAUAAUUAUUUGAAUUUGGAUUCCAGUAAUUGGGAUUCCUAUCUGCUAGAUUUGCUAAAAUUUCUUAAAAAUUGUAAAAAUUGUGCUGCCCUUAAAGACGUAUGCUUCUAAGUUUCUCCUACUAAUCCCAUAAUUAUUUGAAUUUGGAUUCUAGUAAUUGGGAUUCCUUUAUGCAUUACUUUAUAUUUAUUUUUAAAAUAAUCUAAUACUUUUACUAAGGUGGCGUUUGUUUUUUUGUCUGAAAUCUGAAUAGACCUGAAUUAGUCUGAAUUCUGAAUAGGUCUGAAUGUCUGAAUCUGAAUAAUAUGUUUGUUUUUUCGUCUGAAUCUCAGAAAAUAAGUAUUAAGUUGUUUGUUUUUUUCAACUUAAAAAGCUGAAAAUAUGUACUUUUACAUUUGUAUCCUUAUUAAAUUUGAAUGUCAAAUAAAUAAUAUAUUAAAUACCACAAUAUUUAACAUUUAUAAGUAAAACUAUAUUCAAGUGAAUACAUAAUUAUUUUAGAAUUUUAAUAUAUAAAAUACCAUAAAUUUCAAAUUUUAUCGUAUAUAACAUAAGAAAGAAAAAACAUGGAUAUUUUUAUGUGGGGCAAAUAUCUAUGGGUGAGUUUUGGGAUAGACAUGAAAAAUAAAUUAUAAAAUAGGGAUAUUUUUUACAUUAGUAAGUAAUUGACUUAAUCCAGAUUUCUCCAUUAAGUAAAAAGCCAAAAAAAUUAGCAUAUUUUAUUAAGUCAAAAUUAUCUAAAAAGUCUCAUUAAGUUAUAAAAACAAACACCUCUAAUUAACUUAAUUAAUUAAGUUAAGUCACUUUAAGUCAUUAAGUUAAAAAACAAACGCCACCUAACUCUUAUCUACUAAGUUGCGGACAAUUGAAUGUAAAUAAUGCUAGAGAUAGACUAUUGUAAUACUUCUACUAAUAACUUCUUUUGUAUUAAUUAUUUUGGAUUGGUGUUUUCUAUACUAUUUCCUAUAUUAUAUCUUUGAUUAAAUGCUACUUCUAUUCUCCUGUUAGCAAUAAUUUAAAGUUAAAUAUUAUAAUCUAUAUACCCUAUUACCGCUAGUCUUCCUAAAUUAUCUACCUUCUAAAUAUAAUCACUAAAUGCUUCAAUAGAACAAUGUUGUAAAGUAAAACAAGUGUAAUUAUCUAAUGGCGUGCAAGUUAAAUUUCUGAUUAAAAAAUCUAAUAAACAAUUGUUCUUCUUCUUUUGAUACUUUGAGAUUCUUUUAUAAACUUCUGUCAAAUUGAUUGGGUAAUAAAGUGUUUUAUUUCAAAUACUAACUAAAAUUAGUAUCCUUUUUUUUUUUUGGAUUUCUAAAAAUUGUUUUCCAAAUGUUUAGAGUAAAAAAUCAAACUUUUUGAUUAAAACUCAAAUUAAAAAAAAAAAAAAAACCUUUGUAAGGGCAUAAAAAUCCCAAUAUAAAGCCUCCAUUCUUUCGUAAAAUGCCUAUUUUUUAGUUAAAUUGUACUUAUGAGUAAAAUUGGACACUCAGAUAUCCUUCUUCAAGACUUUGGGUUUUUCUAGAAACCUAAGUUUUACUCCAGAGUUUGAUUUUAUUUUAGAUAAAAAAAUAUUUGUUACGAGCAAAUAAAAAAUAGUUGAUUUAUAAUGAAAGAUCUGCAGCUUGUUCAUUUACAAACAUAUAGAAGUCUACAAGAGACCGAGUUCUCUAUUAGAGAAGAACCAAAUAACUUGGCUACAAUACAUUAUGCUGAAUAAAAUAACUCUUUUGAAAUAACUUCUAAAUACAAAGGGAAAUUGAACAAAGCUUAAAAGCUUUAACAAACUGAAGUUUGCAAUAAGAUGAUUCUUUAUAUUUAUCUUUCCUGAUCUGGUCGAUCUUAUGAAUCUUCUUGUGUAAGACAAAAGAAGAGUCUUCUUAUUUAUAGAGCUCUUCUUAGUUGCUUAUUCUUAUCUUUUAUUGCUUUCUUAUCUUCUGCUUUCUACGUGUGUGGAUUAAAACACUUCUUUAAUCUUCACGUGACUAAAGAGAGUAUCGGCAGAAUAAUCACUGCAGCGUUUCCUCUUUUUAAAGUUGUGCUUUAAAAACGGUAGUGAGUAAAGGGUAAUUAAUUAGGGAGUAAACCACUGCUUAGUCGUGGUUCUAGCAUGUUAUCAAGGUUGUAGGCCCCAACAUCAUCUAGAUUGCCGUAGAAUUCUCUACCAUCGUCAUUUACUUCUUCACCCGAUUUCUCUUCAAUGAGAGAUUUGCAUGCCAUGAUAUCUUCUUCAUACUGUUCAUGGUAGAAAUCUACAAGCUGAUUAGUUGUGGUUCUGGACAAAAAAAAGGGACUUCGAGCAUAUUCUAAUGAGAAUAAUUUUUUUUUAUUAAAGUCUUUAGCAAUCAACUUAAGAUGAUCAAUGACUUCUCUAAUCUCAAAUUUCCUUGCUAUUAUUCUGUUUUCUUAAUGUCUAAUAUGCUUAGUUAAGGUGUUAGUGGUGCAGAUCCAAGAUAUGGUUGAACUUCUAAGCUCUAAUGGUGUUAGAUCGCUUGAAAAAAAUAGAAUGUUGAUCUUAAAACUCAUAAUAUACAUUUUCUUGAAUCUCUAUUAUGGUGCAUUUGAUUGGAUAUAAGCCACCACGAACUAUUUUCCAAAUGCCAUUAAGAGAAGCAUGGUUGAUGUUAACUUUCAUUCAAAUUCAUUUCUUUAGUCUCAGUCUCAAACAAUAACUUGAUUAGGAAAACCAAAAUCUAAUAAUAACUGUGGAGUUAAUAUUAGCAAUUUAUCUCUAAAUUUUAAUUCUAUUGGUUUAUAUAAUCGCAGAUCAAUGCUGACUCUUGUAAUAAUAUAGGUGACUCUCCCAUUUGAUUAGAAAUCUGGAAGUUUGUGUGCAAACUCUAGGGUUCACAACUGUGUUUGGCAUGGUCUUGGAGAAAUCUUUGAAUGAACUCCAUCUUAUCAUUUUGCAUUUUGGAAAAAUGUUCUUUAAUGAUAGUCGGCCAUGGUAGGGAAGCUUUGAAAGUUCCAUAUGUGUAAAAAAAAAAAGGUUCUAUUUUCUCUAAUUUUUAGCUCACAUGGGUUCAAUAUUUUGCACUCAGCAUCUAUUUUAACUAGUGGGGUUCAAGUUUUCUAACUUUAUCUGUCAGUAGAGCUAAUAAAGUCUUGAGUAGGGAUGGCAAUGGGCACCACCCACAGCGGGUUUGUCAUUACCAAACCCAAACCCGCACAAAAUUUAAAUUACCAAACCCACCCGCAACCCGCAGCGGGUUUUAAUUUUUUUACAAAAACCCACCCGCAGCGGGUUUUAACAAUUACCAAACCCGCAAUGGUAUCCGGCGGAUUUUUUGCGGGUUUCCGUAUUUAAAAUCACAAAUGUUUAAUAUAUAAAUUUAUAAUAAUAACCUCAAAUUCCAUAUAACAUACCCAAUUUUAUAUUUAAAUAAUGUAAAUAAAAAAUUAAAAUUUCCACAUCAAUUCAACACAAAUUCUCAAAUUUAAGUAUAAAUUACACAAAUCCAUUUAAAAAACACAAACUAGUAUCUAAAAAUAAUAAUUAUAUUUCAUAUUAUCAUUUAAAAUAAGCUCCAAGAGAAGAUAUUCAUUUCAUUCACCACCAUAAGCACCCAUCCAACACAAUGCCUAUAAUAAUAAUUAAGGUUAAUAUUUUCAAAUACUAAUUCGAAGGAAAAUGCUUUUAGUUUUCUUUAGAUUAUGACUUUAGAAUAGGAUAUAGGCCACAUACACACAUACACACAUACACAACUUUGAGCCUUUGGCUAUUUGGUAAUUUAAUUAAUGACAUUAUUUUCUUUAUACAUUUUUAGAUUAAAAUUAAAUUAAAAAUAUUUGAAAAAAAUAUUACGGGUUUGGUGGAUAUCCAUGCGGGUAUCCACCGGAUAUAAGAUUAAUACCAAACCCACCUGCAUCCAUGUGCGGGUUUUAAUUUAUAAUACUAAACCCGCCCGCAACGGGUAAAAUUACCCACAACAGGCGGGUUUUGGCGGGUGGGUUUGGGCGGGUUUGCGGGUACAAUUGUCAUCCCUACUUCGGACGAAUACAUCCUUGAAGGGGUUUGGAGGGGGACGAUUAACUCCCAUGGGGGUCAUUGAACUCCCGAUUACUGUGGGGACAAAGCCAUUUGAAAGAACAAUGAUGCUGGACUUUGUCGUGGUAGAGGAAAGAAGUCCUUACCAGAUGAUAUUGGGGAGACCGUUCAUGAGAAUAUGCCAAUGCGUAAUGUCCACGCAUUAUCUGGCACUAAAGUACAGAAUAAAUGGAGUUGUGGGUGUAGUAAAGGGCGACCAGAGAAUGACCAGGAGCUGCUAUGCUACAGCGGCCAAGGAAACACUGCAAGUUACCUCUCUAGAUAACCGAGGGGAUUCAAAAAACGGUCGCCAGGAACCUGCUGAGAAGCUGGAGGAAGUUGUUGUAAGCAGGAAUGACCCUAGCAGAGUGGUUAAGGUCGGAUCAGAAUUGGGCGAAGCAAUAAAAGGCGAGCUGGUGAAGUGUCUACAGUCCCAUGCAGACAUAUUUGCCUGGUCUCAUGAAGAUAUGCUAGGUAUUAAUCGCGGGGUAGUUUGUCACAAGCUGGCAGUCAAGAAAGGGGCAAGGCCGGUGAGGCAGAAAAUGAGGUGCUUCAACCAGGAAAGAUACGAGGCCAUAAAUGCCGAGGUGGAAAAGCUGCUGAAAGUAGGAUUUAUAAGGGAAGCCAAAUACCCGGAAUGGAUUUCAAACGUAGUACUGGUAAAGAAGGCCAAUGGGAAGUGGAGAAUGUGUGUAGACUUCACGGACCUCAACAAGGCAUGCCCGAAGGACAGCUUUCCCCUACCAAAAAUAGAUCAGUUGGUGGACUCAACCGUGGGUCAUAGUCUGCUCAGUUUCAUGGAUGCUUUUUCCGGAUACAACCAGAUACCCAUGGACGAGCAGGAUGAGGAAAGCACUACCUUUAUAACUAACAUGGGUCUGUUUUGUUACAAGGUGAUGCCCUUUGGCCUGAAAAAUGCAGGAGCUACCUAUCAAAGGCUAGUGAACAAAGUCUUCAAACCAUUGAUCGGUCACACCAUGGAAGUAUACGUGGACGAUAUGAUCACCAAGUCAAGAGAACCGAAAGAGCAUGUGAAGCACUUGGAAGAGACCUUCGAAUUGCUGAGAAGGUAUGAAAUGAAGCUGAACCCGGAGAAAUGUGCAUUUGGGGUCAGCUCGGGCAAAUUUUUGGGAUACCUGGUGAGCCAUCGAGGGAUUGAGGCCAACCCGGAAAAGAUACGGGCGGUGAUAGAAAUGAGGUCCCCACGAACAGUUAAGGAGGUGCAGAGCCUUACGGGGAAAUUGGCAGCAUUGAACCGAUUCAUUUCGCGAGCCACUGAUAAGUGCCACCCUUUCUUCCAAAUCAUAAAGAAAGGGAAGAAGAUGGAAUGGACACCGGAAUGCGAGGAGGCAUUUGGACAGCUGAAGGAAUACUUGGCCCUCGCCCCGUUACUCUCAACUCCGAGAGAGGGUGAUCAGCUGCUUUUGUACUUGGCAAUCUCCAAGCGGGCUACCAGCUCGGUCCUGGUCAGGGAAGAAGAAGGGAAGCAACACCCGGUAUACUACACAAGCAAGGCUCUGGUAGAUGCAGAAACCAGAUAUCCACUAAUGGAGAAGUGGGCGCUGGCUCUGAUAACGGCAGCACGCAAGCUGCGACCAUAUUUCCAAGCCCAUCAGAUCGUUGUGAUGACUGACCAGCCCCUUCGGCAAGUGCUUCAAAAACCAGAUGCGUCAGGUCGGUUAGUAAAAUGGUCUGUGGAGCUGAGCGAAUUCGACUUAUCAUACAGGCCCUGAGGAACAAUCAAGGCCCAAGCCCUGGCUGAUUUUAUGGUUGACCGUACUGGACCAGGGGAAGAGGUCCAAGAGGAACAACCAGAAGAACAGGAGGAUCCAAAGGGGGUGUGGCUGGUAAUGGUGGAUGGGUCACGUAGUGAACAAGGAUCCGGGGCAGGAGUUAUAAUACGAAGCCCAGAAGGUGUCGAGGUGUCUUAUGCUGUAAAGUUCGAGUUCCAGCUUACGAAUAACCAAGCUGAAUAUGAGGCCUUCAUUACUGGGCUCGGUCUGGCACAUGCACUACGAGCAGAAAGGGUAGAAAUCCGAGCCGAUUCCCAGCUAGUAUGUAACCAGCUCAGCGAUCAGUUCCAAGCAAGGGGGGAGAAGAUGGGUCUUUAUCUGAAGAAAGCAAAACAGAUGGUUGGGCUUUUCCAAGAGGUGGAGGUAAAGCAGAUAUCCCGGAAUGAGAAUUACCGAGCGGAUAUGUUGGCUCGGAUGGCUGCAAUUGCAGACCCGAAAUUACCUAAGUCGGUUCCACUAGAGGUAAGGACCUCGCCGAGCAUAGGUGAGGAAGUGGAGGUGAUGAGAAUAACCACUGGAGAGUCCUGGAUGGACCCGAUUCGCGCGUAUGUCCGCGACGGAGUUUUGCCUGAGGAUAGAAGGCAAGCAAGAAAGUUAAAAUGCCGAGCAGCGAGGUACACGCUACUAGAUGAAGUGCUGUACCGCCGAGGGUCCACCUUGCCCCUUUUGCGAUGUGUGGAUGAUGAGGAGGCAGAUUAUGUACUAAGGGAAAUUCAUGAAGGAAUUUGCGGCAAUCACUCGGGAGCAAGAACUUUAGCCUUCAUGGCACUCCGGCAAGGAUACUUCUGGCCGACCAUGCACCAGGAUGCAAAAAAGAUGGCAAAAAAACUAUAAAACAUGCCAAAGCUUCUCUGAGGUUCCUGUACAACCCCCAGAAAAGCUGACCACAAUGACAUCCCCAUGGCCUUUUGCCCAAUGGGGAAUCGACUUGAUUGGUCCGUUACCGAAAGGUCGAGGAGCGGCGACACAUGCAAUUGUGGCAAUAGAUUACUUCACCAAGUGGGUAGAAGUGGGAGUCCUCAGCCAAAUCACGGAGAGAAAGACAACGGAUUUUAUUUGGAAGAACAUCAUCUGCCGAUAUGGGAUCCCCUAUGCCAUCAUUACAGACAAUGGGAGACAGUUUGACAACAGCAACUUCAGAGAGUUUUGCCGAAAUUUGGGGGUGGACCUGAAGUUCUGCACCCCCGCACACCCCCAGGCAAACGGACAAGUGGAAGCAGCCAACAAAGUGAUAAAGAAGCUCUUGAAAACCAGAUUGGGAGAGAAUAAGGGAGCUUGGGUUGACGAGCUACCAGGGGUAUUGUGGGCUUACCAGACAACUCACAAAACUGCUACAGGGGAAACCCCGUUCGCUUUAGCUUUUGGUCAUGAGGCAGUAGUCCCAGCAGAGAUUGGAGUGGGGACACAUCGGACGGAAUACUUCAAUGAGGAGCAAAAUGGCGAGCAGAUCUGCUUGAACCUGGACCUGCUGGAGGAGAAAAGGAAAGGGGCCUCGCAGAAAGUGGCCCAGUGUCAGCAAAGGGUCACGCGUUAUUACAACAAGAAUGUACGCGUGAGGCAGUUCCGAGCAGGAGAUUGGGUACUUAGGAAGGUGAAUCAAAAUACUAGGGAUCCCAACCAUGGUGCUCUUGGCCCAAAAUGAGAAGGCCCGUAUAGAGUAAUACGAGCCACGGGACCAGGAGCUUAUAAGUUAGCAUACCCAGAUGGGCGAGACGUGAAGAGGUCGUGGAACGCCGAGCACUUAAAGAAGUAUUUCCAGUAAGCAAAAUACUCCACUAAAUCUUAAAUUUGAUAAGUUAUAUUUGUCAAAUGCAUGGUGGCUUGGUGCACAUGCAUAUAUUUUGUAUUUUUGUAACGCAUUCAAAUUUCAAUAAAGAUGAAUUCAGUAUGAAAGAUGAAUUCAUUAUGAAAUCCCCCGGCUAAUAAGCCCACAAAAAUCUUACUAAGGCAAGUAAGUGCCUACUUCUGCUCGGUCAACCAAAGACCAGCAGCUAAUUCUACAAAAAAUCUUACUAAGGCAAGUAAGUGCUACUUCUGCUCGGUCAACGAAAGACCAGCAGCUAAAUCUACGAAGAUUCUACUAAGGCAAGUAAGUGUCUACUUCUGCUCGGUCAACAAAAGACCAACAGCUAAUUUUACAAAAAAUCUUACUAAGGCAAGUAAGUGCCUACUUCUGCUCGGUCAACGAAAGACCAGUAGUUAAAUUUACGAAGAUUCUACUAAGGCAAGUAAGUGCCUGCUUCUGCUCGGUCAACGAAAGACCAGCAGCUAAAUUUACGAAGAUUCUACUAAGGCAAGUAAGUGCCUGCUUCUGCUCGGUCAACGAAAGACCAGCAGCUAAAUCUACGAAGAUUCUACUAAGGCAAGUAAGUGCUUACUUCUGCUCGCUCAACGAAAGACCAGCAGCUAAUUCUACAAAAAAUCUUACUAAGGCAACAAAGUGCCUGUUUCUGCUCGGUCAACGAAAGACCAGCAGCUAAAGCUUCGAAAAUUUUACUAAGGCAAACAGAUGCUUAUUCCUGUUCGAUGCACCAAAGAACCAACAGGCAAAACCAGACAAGAAAGCCAAUAGAGAGCAUUCAAAAAAUUUUAUAAACGUUCAAAUGUUUACAAAGUAAAUGAAAGACUAGAGUCUUUACAAAAAUAGACCUAAGGAUUAGGAGGAUCAACGGCCUCAGCAGGUGAAGGGUCAGCUAUCUCGGGAGGUGGAAGGUAAGCAAUAUCGGGAGGAGGAGGCACGGACCCCUGUCCCACUUCAAAAACACGCCGCCCAGCUUCUCCCUCCUGCACCCCAUCCAAAGGAGUCUCCACCUGCUCCUGCUCACCCUGCUCCUUAUCUGCUUGGUCGACCUCCGCCAUAUACCGCUGCACUCCGGCCUCCAAUUUGCUCAUGUCCAUCUCGGGAUAUUCUGUCUUAAGCACAGACAUGAUGCACUUGUAGGAGAAGGCAACCCUAGAAUCAUACUCGGCAUCCAGCCGAUCAUCCACAUCAGCGGAUUUGCCUCUCUCCUCAGCCAGCUGCUCGCCCAAGGAUUUGAUUUCCCCCUCAAGGGCGGCCCUCAAAGUAUCCCUUUCAGCUUGAGUAGCCUGAAGAUCAGAUCUCAGGUCACCCAACUCGCCCUCGAGUUUGGAAGAAGUGGAUUCAGCAACCGCAACUUUCUCCUCUAGCUCCAUAAUCCGCUUGCUUAGCUCAGCCAGCUUCUCCUUAGAGCGAUCAGCAGAGUCGGCUUUCUUCUUCAAUUCCUGAAUGUCAGCUUGGACCUUCUUCUCAUGGCGCGCGGACCCAAGCUUGUAGCAUGAAACCAUGGUAGCCAGCCGGAAGGACACUCUCUGAACAGAAGCAGCUAGCUCGGAGAGAUUCAUACUCUCGAUGUCCUUCACCAUCUUGGGCCCCACCGAUCUCUUGUAAUCCUUCUGAUACGGGCUCAGGUAGUCCGCUUGAUCCCGAGAGGGCAGAGGAGAAGGUCGGUCCCCAGACUGGUAGUUGACCUCAGGACUCUUAUCAGAAGUUUUCUCCCCACCACUCUUGCGGGGUGGAGGAGGGGGCAGAGCAGGGACAGGAGCUUUGGAAGGGCCGACGCUGGACUUCUUUAGAGGAGGAGGGGGGUUGCUGGAGCUGCUUGGAGCCCGACCACGUUUUCUGGUCAUCGCACUUAGGAUCUUGUUAUCCAUUCCAGCUGCUAUGUCCACUAAACCUGAACCGACCAGGCUUGUUGGUGACAGAAGGUCUUGACAGGUAGACGCGUUUACCAGAGCAGUUUCCACCUGGAGUAGAGGUCGGUCUUCAAGCCCCUUUAUCAAACCCCACGACUCUGAAAGAACAAACAAGGUUAAAGAACCCAAUAAGUAACGAGUCGAGAAAGAGUAUAGGCAAAAAAUGAACGACCUGGGGUGACAAAAUUUGCUGGAAGGUAAAUAUCACCACCCAACGAAUGAGCUGCUGGACACCAAGCUCCCCCAGCAAAGAAGAAUUUGUUCUUCCAAUUUUUGCACGAGGAGGGGAAGCCGGUGAUUGGUUUCCUCUUCGCAGAGCUCGACAUGAAGUAAUACCAGCCUGCUUCCUUCGAGCUACUCCUCAGCUGGUAAAGAUACUUCACUUCAACGAGGGAGGGCUCCUCUGAUCCACACCUCUUCCACAACACAUACAUAGCCGAGAGAACCCUCCACCCAUUGGGAUGUAGCUGACCUGGGGCUAGGUGCAUACCACCCAAUAUCUUAGCAAAAUAACGUUGAAGGGGCAGCCGAGCUCCCAAUUUGAAGCUCUCUAGGUGCAUCGUCACAUACCCCUGCGGAGGCCGACUAGGGACGUCACCUUUUCCUGGAACUACCAGGAGAAUCUCCACAGGAAUGUCGUAAAGGUUCCUCAGCUUGAACAAAUCAGUUUGGGUGGUGGCACAAGCUGUGUAGUCAAUAGGGUAAGAAUCCGCCUCUACCCUAUGACUAAGGUGCCUUCUCUGAGGAGGUCCCCUCGGUCCUGAACUGCUCCCCUCACCAUCACCAACUCCUUCAGGGAUCCCAACCCCAUUAAAGCUGUGGUUCUCACCAGAGCCCGACGCAGGUCCACCUCUAUUCCCUAUAAACUCUAGUUCGGGGGAAGGAGGGACAACCAAAGGGCGUGGGUACUCAAGGGUAUCCCUGCCAUGGGAAAGACCUACACUGCUGGAAGGACCUAGGAAAUCGGUGGGUAUUGGCACGUUGAGGCCUGAAUCCCCUGAUUCUUCAUCGCCCUCAUCAACAAUUAACUUUCUUUUCCGGUUUGACAUAUCGGAGUCCCGAAAGAAAACAAAGAAAACUCGAAUAAACUGAUACAAAAGGGGGCAACACAAAACCCAAUCAACAACAACCAAAGCAGGAGUUAAAGGCUGUACCUGGAAUACACUGGCACUGAUAAUGUUGCUGUGAUGAAGGUAAAAUCCCGCAAACGGAAGUCCUAGACGCAGAGAGUGUGAACAAAGUUCGUAGGAAUUGACUCGCGACAGAAGAACAAAUAGAACGAAACAACGAGGAUUUGGGUCUAGGGAUUCGAAGCGAAAAGGGAAAUGAAAGCAUUUAAGUGAUAGAGACGCCAGCUCACUCACCGUACAUCAAGGACAGAUAGCCCGUCGUUUCAAAUUUCAAAUACGAAGAGUCGGGAGAUGCCACGUCACCAAUCGUUAUAAGAGGCUAGGCUAGAUGCAAGCCCAUAUACGCAAUGGACAUACUCAUUUAGGCCCAUGCGCAGGUCAAAAUCUCCCCUGAAGAAAAAUGAUACCUCAGGUCCAUCCCAGUAGACGGAAGACUAGAGGAGAAGUCCCCGGAUUGGUAAGAUUUGACUAUCAGUUUCUACUCUUGACUCAUUUCACUCACAAGACCAGAAACUGGGGGACUGGUGUUAAGCAAAUAAAAGCACCAGGUCGGCCAUGCUACUAUUUCCACCCCGGCAUGAAUCACCUCAGCCAAAUGGUACGAGCAGAACAGGGGGUAACAUGAGCCGAUCAGAGACGAAUACUGACCAGAGCCAUAUACCGAGUUGGUACCCGUCCCCCAAAAAGCAGAAACACGAUCUCAUAGAAUCACGGUAGUUGCGCUUUCCCAGAACCGUUGCGGGAGACGCGAGAUCCCACGUUUGCCCACAGUGCAGCAGUUAGAAUCCCAUGAGAGGCUACCACUACCCGAGAAAGGUGGGAUGAAGGGCAAACGGGAACGUGGGGACAGCGGCUAUAAAAAGAAGAAGAAAUCAAUGAAGAGUGGGAUAGAAAAACUGAGAGAGAGAAAACGCUGCCAAAUUGAAACCAAGCAAUUUUAUUACAAACUUCGAGCAAAUUAGAACCACUCUUGAAUCAAAAUUUAACUGUUUUCCCGUAAACACCUUGUGCUAACUUAGGCAUCGGAGGGUUUACGCCGGCAAAACCACCGGCGUCUCUGAUCUGUUUUUGGUGAACGCAGGUCUAGUAAGGAAAAGGAGAGUGAUUCCAACCCCAGUGGUUCGAGCAGCAGUGGAUAUUAUAAACGUUGGUGAAAGACUCUAGUCGGUCCAAGGGCGAGCAGAUUUCAGUAUCAACAUUUUGGCGCCGUCUGUGGGGAGCUGGAUAAAAAGCUACCACCGAAUUAGGAAUUACCGGAGAAACAGCGAACGGUUAGACAUGGAUGUGACGAGGAAUGACGCUUUGAGGGAGGAUAACGAAGCUGGGGAGACAAUCACUCUUCGGGAAAUUGCAAAUGAAGCCCGGGAGAGGGUGAUGCAAGAUCGAUUAGAACGGAUGGAAAGACAAAUGGAGACUCUCACGACCGUACUAUACGAGCUGAGGGAUGAACGGAGAAGAGAUUGUGAAACCCCCGUGGGGAGAGAUGUUGUUGGAGCGGAACCUAGCCUCCGGAGGCGUAGGGUCGAGGAAAUCCCUCCGCUAGCAGACCAACCUAAUGGGGUGCAUCCCCACAGAAGCACUAGCCGGGUUCCAGGAGAAGGAGUAGAUGAAGGAAUGGACCAACUUCUCCCCGGAUGGGUAUUGGAAGUCAAUAGCCGAGGGGCCAGUGCUGACGAAGGAGAGCUCAGACAGCGGUUGCAUAAUGCUGAGCUGGAACGAGACCAGAUAGCUGCCCGUGAUCCUGGCCGUGCCAUUGAAUUGGAGGGGGAGGUGCAUUAAUUUUUAAUUUUUUUAAAACCCCUACUCUUGAGCUUAUCAGAAUCUCUUUCUCCAUACAAAUCUCAACACCUGUCAUUUAAUUUUUUUAAAAAUUUUAUCCUUACUUCACAAUAAUUGCAAAAAGAUAAAGUGUUAGUGGAAGAUGAAGCAACUCCACUACCUUGUGCAUUUUGAACGCAUGGUGAUGUAUGCUGCGAUAAAAAUAGUAAAUUGCUAACUGUAUUUCUUGCUAAAGGACUUACGAAAAAGUUUAGGCCAAUUCACUAUUUUGUAGCACCUGCGGCUGAUUUGAAAUCAUAAAUUCCUUGACAAUCAAGGUUGUAAAAAUUUGUAAUUUCUCUUAAAACUUCAGGCAAAGUGUAUACCUGGUGUAAAUCCUUUAAAAACUACAUAAAAGCAAAAAAAAAAAAAAAUCUAAAGGUUUGCUUUGAAUUUUCUGAAAAUAAAAUGUUAAUGCAUUUAAGAUGACUAAAAUCUUUCUACUAUCACCCUUUGCAUUCCAGAUGUUGUCUAGAAGACAAAGUUUCAUUCAUCUAACUAUGUUGGUAGACUAAUCUAACCAAAGGUUAUUUUCCUACCGUCUAUCUACAAAAUCAUAAAAUAUAUUAGAAUAAAUUUCUCUACUUAAGUAAUCAGUUAAUCUAUUAUCUACUUUUUUUUAUGUGUUUAAAUUUUGCUUUAUAACCAUUUCCUGCUGUAGCAUUAACAAACCAUCUUUUACUACUUAACUUCUUUUUAUUACUUUUAUUUAUUAAAUUAUAAUUAUUGCUUCACAAUUUGUCUUUACUGUAAAAGGCUGAUUGAGAAAUAAUCUAAAUCUAUUUAUAACAUUAAUGACUCCUAAAAUUUUAUAGUCUAAGUUGGUUAAACUAUUUUUAGUUUCUUUGUAGAGACCUACUGAACUUUUCACUACAAGAAAAAAGGCCUACAAUGACAGUCCCUUGUGUGACAGUUUUUUAUCUGGAGACCUACAAUGAUGGAUUUGUGUUAAAUUUUAUUUUUAUCAUGCAAUUAUGACAUAAUUGUGAUAUAAAUUUCGUCUAUCAAAAACUUAGGAUAGACUCAUGAUAGAUUUUUUAACUAUCAAGAAUUUAUGACUCAUAUUUAAUUUUGACUUCAGUUAUUCGGGUUUGACUGUAUUUUUUAAAAUUAUUUUAUUACAAAAAAUUACUAUUAAAAGGAAACGCAGUCGUUUCUUUUGCAAGCAAAACGACAACGUCUUUUUGGCAAGCAAAACGACAACGUCUCUUUGUCGAAUAUAAACUUGAUAAUUCUGAAUAAAAGUUGUGACUUUUGGGGGAAAAAAAACAUAAAAUGCAGAGUUUUAAAGAGAUAACUCAUUUUAAGUGUGAGAAAUUCACUCUCACACUCAAAACACACAAAAGACUUCGACAAAUUAAGAGAAAAUGAAGAAACCCACGACAAACCCACAACAAACCAUAAUCAUUCGAAGUCAUUCUCAUUGCCUACCAUUCUCGCCGCUAUUUUCGAUGUCGUUCGUCUGCCAUUCUCACUCAUUCGUCGUUCGAGCUCUACCGAAACCUGCUUUUGUCAAAGAUUUCACCCUUUCGUUUGAACGCAAUUUCUACUCUGUGCUAGAGAUAUUUGAAGUCCCAGCUUCUGCCAUUGUCAUUGCUUCUGCUUCGGAUUUGUUGAUAAACCCUAACAAUUUCUAUUGUACCUAUCUAUUUCGCCAGCAAAGCCCUAACUGAAGAACUGAUUUCUUUGCACUGUGAAAUCAUCAGUUCAUUGGUAUGAAAUUCAUCAUUACCUUUAAUUUUUGUUUAUUUUUGUUGAUUUUCUGUGUUUGUAUGUUUGUAUAAAAAUGAGACUUCGAAAAAUAUUUUCAAUUUAGGAGCAUUUGUUGGGGACUUGACUUUUGAGGAAGAUACGAGUAAAUAUGUGGAAGUAUUUGUUUAAUUACUUUGAGGUCUGAUCUCUAUUGGACAUUUAGAAUAAAGAUCAAGAAAUUUAUGCCAUUUUUAAGAAAGAGUUGAUUCUUGAUAAACCAGAUUCUUGUUCUUUUUAGAAGGUUAUUUUGUGAAUUCAAUUUGUUUUUAAUUGAAUCUGUUGUUGUUUUUGGUAGCGAUGAUAUAUGGUUUGAAGAACUUAAGGAAGAGCUUGAAGAAUGCAAGAACCAUGAAGUAAGCAGAAGCUUUAAUAUUUGUUCUUUUUAUGCUAAUAUGUAGCCAAUCUUUUAGUGAUUAUAUGUUUAGUUGUUAGUUUAACCACUCAGGCAUGGUGCUACUUUUAACAUUGAUUCAUUCUUUGGGAAAUAAUCAGUUGAGAGAUUGACAUAAAGUACAAGCUUAAGAAUUCAAUUGUUGUUGUUGAUCGGUGCAUUCUUUGAACUGAAAAUUUGAAAACUUGUAAGUGAUUAGGUAGUUGUUUGUUGGAUGUUGAUUAGACCUGUAAGUGUAUAAUACUUCUUGAGCUUACAUUAAUGCAAGUUAUUCAGAUUUCUGGGUUUAGAAAUUAACUUGUUAAAUGGUUGAUGCACAAAUCAGAUGAUUACAUUAUCCAGUUCAAUUUUUUUUUUUUUUUUGAUAAUACAUUUAUCCAUCAAAUAGAAAGGAAUGAAAAGUGAGUUUAGAGAGUACCACUUGUCAUUGUCUUGUAGUUUGAUGUAGAAUGUGCAUAAGCUAACUGUAACAUCCCAUAUUCCUUUAACUGUGAUUUUAUUAACUCUUAAGUUUAAGCCCAAUAUUAUAUAUUUAGCCAUUUUUAAAAGCCUAUUUUCUCUAUUACUUAACUAAAUAGCUUAAACAAUAUAUUUGCUUGUCAUUCUCAUGUGUAAGAAAUGGAGGCAAAAGACAUUGCCAUUAUCCACCAUUUGAGAAAAAGAAACAGAACCUGAUACAAAGUUUAAAAACUUUUCUGAUUUCACCAAUUGAGCUUCAAUUUCUUUAGUUUCAGUGUCAAUUUGAAACAUAUCUUGCCAAGGCUUUAGAACCAUUCUUGCAUGUUAAAUUAUCCAAGCUUGGCAGCCUCAAAUCCAUCAAAAUUAUAAGUCUACCUUAAAUUGCUUUAUAUGUAUGUUAAUUUACUCUCCUUUCUAUAGUUGGUGUAAGUUUGAAGCCAUUGUGAGCUAUUCUUAUGCUAUCUCAGAACUCUUGACUCACCAUUGUAGUCCAACCACUGAUUUUUCUCCUUUUAUGAUUUAGGGAGAGUAGAACUGGUGUGGGGGAUAAAAAUCUUGUUGUUUUGAGUAGUCUUUUUGGCAGAAGACAAUGGGCUUCCUUUUGUUUUUAGGUAAAACCCCUCGAUUUCUCAAUAACUUCUUAUGACUUUGUUUAAUGGUAGUGUGAUUGAUUAUUAUUUCUUUGAUCUUUUAUGUUUUGAGUAGUCUUUUUGUCAAUUCCAAGGUUGAGGUUAAUACUUGAGAAGGUGGCAGAAAGUUUUAACAGGCUACAAAGUUAAAGCUUGUGAUUUAGGUAGGUAACUUUGGGCAACUAAUGUUCUGGUUUUGUAGUUCACUUAUAUAGUGCAUAGAUACUUUUUUACAAUUCAAUUGAAAGACAACAUAUUCUAAUGAUGAAUUAGAUGAAGUUCGUAUUGAGUGGGCAAACCAUGUUUCUGAAUUACUUGCUACUAUGUGAGGUAAGCCUUACCUAUUAUGUUGUUAUAGUGAGUUCAUUGAUGAAACAAAUUAAUUUACCAAACUUUUGUUCAUUGAAAACAAACUUUGCUAGCUAUUAUUCUAUUGCUUAGUAUUCUAAUCUAUAUGAGUUGUCACGGACUUUGAAUUUGUUAUAUUUUACUUGUGCAGUUACCUAGCUUCUUACACUUGCUAUGUUGGAAUUUGAUGAAGAUGGCGGGUACUGCUGGAGUUCGCUACCUUUUUUAUUUGAUGCAAAAACAGGUCCUGAAUAUUGAGGCAACUUUGCACAUUUAGCUUAUUCUUAUAUUGGUAUUUGUUGUAUGCUUCACCAAAACUGUUAGAAUGGAUUUUCUUAGUCUGAUCAGUGUUGUUGGCUUCAUCUUGUGUUGCUGGAAAUGAACUGUGUUCUUGGCUUUCUUUGUGUUGCUCUAAAUGACUAUGUUGUUGGCUUCCUUUUGUUGCUGGAAAUGAACCGAUCAUGGUACAUUAGUCUUGUACAUGUUGCAGGAAUUUGUUUUUAUGUUGUUACAAUACUCUUCUAUUUAUGUUGGACUUGUCACUUGUAUUUGGAUAAAUUAUGUUUGUUCACAAUUAUCAAUAAUUAGCCAAUGUUAUUUAUUUUGUUUUCUUUGUCAAUGAAUUUUUAAUUGCAAUUAAUUUUAAUAAUCUAAUUAAUUAGCUAAAUUAUGAAAUAUUAAUUUCUAAAUCAAUUGUAGGAUUUUUAUUAAAAUGAUAAUAAUUUCAUGGUACAAACAAAAUAGUUAUUUUUAUUAAUUAUAAUUUCAAAUUUCCAAUUAAUUGAAAAAAAUCAAUUAAUUAUAAUUUCCAUUUUCACUGCAAAUUGAACAUUUCCUGCCAAAAUUUAAAAAAUAGCGUGCGAAAUUCAAAAAAGGCAACCCAAAUUCAAAAUUAUUAUAUUUCCCUCUAAUUAAAGUUAUGAUGGUUGUGUGACUGACUAUAUUCAUCAUAGGUUAUGAUUGGUAUUAUUCUGUCAUCAAUUCUUGACGCUGGCUAUAAUGACGGUAUGAACAACUGUCAUCCACCCCCUACUAUGACAAUUUUUGCCUGUCAUCGUAGGUACUUUUUCUUGUAGUGUUUACAAUUGUUUUCAGUGUUCUUACUACUGUAUUUACUUGGUUUAUAAAGUAAUACUGCUCCCCAUAUGUUAUCACUAGCAUAUGUUUCUAUAACCUUAUUCUCACUUUCUAAUAGUUAAGCUAAUUCUGGUAAUUCUUCUCAUUAGUUUUAUAAUUUUUAUUUUUCUAACUAAUUCUAUAUCAGAUGAAUUAAAGAACUUUUAAUCUCCUAGUUUAUUCUUAUGUACAAAUGUCAUACAAGCUUACUAAGAUCUUUUAUAAACAUUCUAGCAUAAUUUAAUAUUUAUAGAAAGGCUUGUAACUUUUUAGUAUCUUCUAUUUUGUUUGAAAAAUCUAAUAUCUUUUUUACUAUAUGUUCUUGUAAUUUUAUCUUUCCUUUUCUGAUUUUUAUUCCUAGAAAUUCGAUGUAUUUUUUACGUAGUUCUAUUUUUUUCUUACUAAUUAUAGGUCCAUUACCGAAGAACUCAUUAAAAACUGUAAAUAGGUGAUUAUAAUAAUCUUCUAAAUUUUGACUAAAAACUAAUGUGUCAUCUACAUACAAUAAAAUAAAUUUACUAUAUUUUCUAAAUAUUUGAUCCAUCUUAUGUUGAAAGAUAGAAAGGGCAUUUUUUAGUCCAAAUAACAUAAAAAUCCAUUCUAAAUGUCCUUCAGAGCAGCUGAAGGCAGUCCAUGGAAUAUAAUCAUCAUCCAUUUUAAUUUGCCGAAAACCAGACUUACAAUAAAACUUGCUAAACACAUUGGCAUUUUAGAUGCAAUUUAUUUUUAUGCAAUUUAUUAACUAGUCUUUUUCAAGAAUUUUAUACUGAUCUUUUUAUUUUUUACCAUUUCAACGCUUAUAGUUUACGACCACUCAUGCUUUUCCACUUUAAAUUUUUACAUGAUUUCUAAUCAUAAAUGUUUUACUUCUAUGCCUACUAUUACCAUGCCUAAUUACUCCUAACUUUAACAAUUCUGGUAUUUGAAUGCUAAAUUCUUCCAUGUCUUAUGGAUUAUAGUCUCCUUUACCUAUUUUAAUAGUAAAAUCUACAUCUUUUACAUCUAAAUGGGCUUUAAUUUGUUCUUAUCCCAAUAUUUAAUUGGGUUUUCUCCUAGGACUUGUGUAGUUUCUUCUAAUCUAAUUAUUUCUUCUAAGUCAUGCUCUUUAGAUUUUUUUUAAAUUUAGGUCUAUUAGUUUGUUUAUCUAUAUUUUUUUAAUACAAAAUUAAGAUUACAAAAAUCUUCUAAAUCUAAAUCACAAAAAUUUACUUCUUUAUUGAUUUAUGGUCCUUCUAGAUCCUCUAAGAAGCUAUCUAUAUCUUCUCUAUUAAUUGGAUUUUCUUUUUCUAAAUCUUGUGGAAACUUGAAAUAACUAUUACUGGUUCCAUCACGCUCUGCAUGCAACUCUAAUUGCAUAUCUUGACUUUGUAGACGAUGAAAAAGACAAAUUCAAUUGGGGUGACAUGUUCUUUUGAAAAAUGUAACCAUAAUUACUAUUGAUUAACAUAUUGCCUUUACUACUACAUAUAAAAUUUAAUCCUAAAAUAAAUUUAAAUUUGUUAUUUAUUGGACUAAUCUGUACUUGUGGUAAGGAAUAAUAUUCAUUAAAUUCAUUUUGUAUUCUGUAGAAACUGAUUUGUGCAUCUCUAACACUUUUAUCGUACUUUAAUAUAGUUUUAUCCAUUUGUUUAACAAAUAUAAGUUGUGACAAUGUUUACAAACAAUCUGUUGGGAUUAAAUUAAUAACUAUAUGAGACUUACUACUCCUUGAAUCUAUAAUGGCUAAUAAUUCUAUGUAUUACCAUUUCUAUAUCUAAUUUUACUAAUAAUAAUAAGGAAGGUUGUCUGAGGUAUAAAAGAUAAGAAUCGACUUUUUAGAAUGUUGAUCUAGACAUUCAUCCAAAUAUUUGUCAUUUGCCUUAAUAAUUUGUUUAUUCUUUUGCCUAUUUUGGUUUUGUUCUAAUUCAAAAAAUUUCUAUCUAAAUUCAAACUCUUGUCUUUCUAACUGAAAUUUUAAUCUUUCAAUUUCUAAAUUUUGGGUUUCUAUAGUUUGCAUAGAUUCUUGUACUUCUACUGGCUGAUUUUUACUGAUGAUUAUAUAUUGUAUCCCUUAGUGCUGAUUGGUUAAAACUUAUUCUACCAUGAUUGGGUGGAUUGGUAAUACUGCUACUAGCUUAUUCCAUAACAUCAUCCAUUUUGAUGGAUUCUUGUGUUUUAAAGAUUAUACUAGCUUCUAAUUUACCUCUUAUUAUAUUAUCUAUAUAUUGAGUAAUAUAUUCUGUAUUUAAAACUUUUACCACCUGGUCAUGACUGAUUUCUAACAUUAGUUCAUCAUAUUAACAAUCAAGAAUUUUAUUCAUUUUUUUCCAUAUGAACUCUUCUUCUAUAGCUAUUAAAGUAUUUCAAUUUUUUUCUUCUAAAUCAUCAUCCUAACUACUAGUUAUGCCAACUUGAUAAUUACAAUUCCCAAAUCUCAAAUCUAUGGAACCAUUAUUAUCGUGGUAAAUUACACUAUCUUCUAGUAUUAAAAUUGGUUUUUCUAUAAAACUAUCUAACUUCCAAUCUAAUAAUGCAUUAGUUUCUAUUGAGAAACUUUUUGUUUGAAUAACUUUAAUUCCUUUCAUUCCUAUAAUGUUUAUUAUCUUAUUAUUAUCUAACUUAUAUUUAGUUCUGCUAUUUUUAUUAAGUCUUCAUAUAAAUCCAGUGCAAAUUAAAUAAAUUAUCUUCAUUCCUUUUCAUAUGAUAGCCUCUAGUUUGUAUCCAUCUUUGUAAAAUGUAUUAGCUUUUCUUAAAUAAUUUGAGGUAAAAUAUACUAUUUCUCCUUUAUUGUUUAGAUCUAGUUCUGUGCUUGCUAAAAUUUAUAAACCGAUUAUGAUAAAGACAAACCAAAGUUUUUGCACCUAAAUUUUCUCUAUGUAACCCUUUUACUUCUAUUAUAACUAAUCUUAAAUGAGCUUGUUUAAGAUCUUUAUUACUAAUAUGAUUUUAGGAAUGCUUAUCUAUUAAAUCUAAUUUAAUCAUUUGAUCUUCAUGAGUACAUGACACAUAUCUUUCACUAUAAUGUUGAUAUAGUAAAGAUUUGUUAAAUAAAUUCAACAAAUUCUCUUUUUUAUAUUUUAUAUUUGAAUUAAUUAAAUAUAAUUUAUUCUGCCUAAACUUUUCUAUUUGUACAUCUAAAUCUAUGCGGUUUUCUAAUUUAACAUCCUCAUUCUCUUUUGUUUUAUUAAAUAUUCUUUUUAAAUAAUUACCUUCUAAUUUACUAUUAGUGACUAUUAGUUUUCCUUCAUCCAUUAAUAAUAUCCACAACUCUUUGAUUGCUUAGGUUGAAAGCUACUUUUAUCAGUAUCAAUUUUUAUUUUUUCAAAUCUAAUUACUAAGCCUUCUAAAUAUGAAGUAGGUAUAACUUCUGAAUCCUUAGUUUUUUUUUUUUUUUCUAAUUGUUUUAAUUUUAGUUUUCCUUCUCCUAACCUUGAAAUCUUAUCUAAUUCCACUAUAUCUUCAUCUUUUAUGAAGUCUAAUUUUUCUUCUAAUUUCUUAAAAAUUGUUUUAUUUUCUCUUAAACUAUCUAAAAAUAAUUUAAGAUUCUUAUUAAUCUUAUCAAAUUCUAAUUUUAAAUUUCCACCUAAAUUUAUUAACAAAUUUACUAGGUUGUUUAACUAAGAGUUUUCUAUAUGUAGGUCGUGUCUAAAAUUUCUUUCUUUGUUACAAUCUAUAUCGUAUCUAUCUAAAGUUACCUUCUUACUGUAGUAAUUACUAAGUUCUAAAUCAAAAUAUUUUAUUUUCUUCAUAAACUAUUGGAUCUUGUAAUAAGAAGUAACUAAUUGAACUAUACUCUGAUAUUAGUUUGCAGUGGGUAUAUGAGAGUAGUAUAUCUAAAAAUUGGGGUGUGAGUAACUAAUUACCAAUACUCAAAAGUUUUUGAUAAUUUAAACUUAUUAAAACUAACCGUUUUGUACUUAGUUUUGUUCUCAUUUUGUAAGAACAUCAUUUCCUAUAUCUCUAUAAACAGUUUUUAUAUACCAUGAUCUAUAAGUUGAUUGUAAAAAUAAAAUAAAAAAUAAAGGCCGACGGAUAUUGACGAAUUCAUUGACCAAAUAAGAAAAAGCAAUUGAUCUGAUUUUAGGAGUCCUAAAAAUAGUUUUCGCCAAUAAAAUAGUAAAUCCAAUAAAUUGAUGCAAACUAGUCAAAAAAAUAAAAUAAAAUAUCUAAAAAGACGAAAACAACCCGGAACUAUUAAACGACACCGAAUAAUUGGGGUUUUCCUUUUGUGAAACCCUAAGCUUAUAAAUGCCAACUUGCCAAAGCCUUACAAAGAUUUUGCAUCAACGAUACUCUCGUUAACGAGGGAUCUGCUUCGUUUGGAGUAAUCGGCUGCGGAAUACAGAGACUGUGACCGUGAGCGAAGAUGAGAGCUAAGGUAAAUCUAUCUCCACAGAAAUUCGGUCUAUGAUUCUAUUUUUUUCCUUAACCAAUACAUGGUAUCGUAUUUUCAAUUUCACGUAUUAUUAUUUUUUGAUCUUGGAUUUUGUAUCUUGAAUUUGGAAAAAAUGAAACCCUUGAACAUGCCGUUGAUUUUUUUUUUUUUGGCACAUAUUUUCUUCUUGCUUAUUGCUGUGUACAUGUCUGUGUUUUAUAUGAUUAUAGGCAGUAAUUUUUCUGUGGGAUGUUUUUAGUUGACUCGAACUUAAAUAAAUGAUGAAAAGAAAUGAUGUACUCAAAAAUAAUAUUAUGUUUUCUAGCUCCUUAACUGUUUAGAAAAAUAUUUAUGGACUAUUGAAAAAAUACUUACAUAAUUGAUUGUUUGGGAAGUGUUUCUGGUUAAUGUUAUUGUCAAGGGAAGUUAUGGAAGAGGGCUUCUCAAUCCUUUAUGGUUAUAUUUUGUCAUAAAUAUUUUGAUGGAGUAUUUGCCAUUUAUUAAUCUAUUAUUUGGCUGAAUAAUUUGUAUGAAUGGAUGAAUUUAUGAUCUUCUAGCUUUUUCUUUGCUGGGAGUUAAAUUGUCUCUCUUUUGUUUACUUUUUGCAGUGGAAGAAGAAGCGCAUGAGAAGGCUGAAGAGGAAGCGCCGAAAGAUGAGACAGAGAUCUAAGUAGGUUCAGGAACAUGGGUUCAGUUUCUCCCGAAAUGCCUUCAUCAUCUCUCAACUUUUCAGCAUGUGAUACAUGAUGAAGUUGUCAAGAUUAUAGAGGGAUGUUUUUUCGGAGAAGCCUCGUGUUUCAGCAUCUAGUCUUAGGUUUAGUAGCCACCAGUAUUAAGACUAUUGUUUUGAGCUGUCUUUAAUAUUACUAUCAAGUAUCUUGUUAUUUUAUAUGAAUUUAAGUGCUGUACACACUUGUUUUACUUGAAUAUGCUUUUCUUAACAAUAUUGAACAUCAAAUGAAUGAGUGUUAGUUCAUCUUGUGUUCAAGUUAUGUUGAUUGUGUUAAUUGUUUGCACUUGCAUUUAACAGCUGCCCAUAUAGAAAGUUGUAGCUGGU
rnacentral:lncRNA from 1 species